GUGGAGCUGCAUACAAAUAUUGACAGAACACAGUGGUAUUUGUUAAGCUGGAUCUUGGGAAGUGAAUGAUUAAAACUCUGAAGGAAGAUCUGAAAACUUCAGAGCUUCCCUCCUCCCUCUCCUCAAGAAUCUUUAACAGUGUUUAACAGAGUGAAAGUGAAAAUGCUGAGCUUGGUUAAAUGAAAGCCCUGACCUUCUUUUCCUCUGCCUUUGCCUUGCUGUAGGUAAGGACAAACUUCUUGAAAUGUUUUCGUUCCUGCAUGUUUUUUUAAUCCCAUUAUGAAUUAGUGGUUGUUUAAUGUGUGGUAGUAUUGAAAGGGGCUGGGAAUGCUUUUGAUUUAAUUCUGUGAUUUGGGCAAAAGUUAUGAGACAAUCUUUGUAAAUAGACAGACUGUGUUAGCCAGUAGCUAUGCACCAUCAAAUGUUAAUACUACUUUUCUCACAGUUCCAUUACAGUAAGUGAUAGGUGCAUGAAUCUCCUCAGACAUUUUAAAGACAUACUUAGAUCCAAAUAUCUGGGACACAUGAAAUUCACCUCAGAAUUCCACCUAGUGGUGUUCAACUGAGAGUUCAAAGUUUGCUGCCUGGGUUGUACCUGCAAAACAUUAUUGUCUCCAUCACAUAGUUAAUCACUGUCAUACUGCUUUCUAGUGCCAAUGAAAGGGUACUGAAAAACCUGUUUGACUUAAGGUUUUAUUUUAACUUGAGAGACUCUUGAAACAUUGGAAUAUUUCCCCCCACUGUGUAUGCUACUUUGAAGAAAUCACCGGAUGACUGAAAAAGUGUAUACUAAACAUUGUCCUGAAAUGGGCUUUUUGUAAGAACACAAUUUAUUUAUUUAUAUCUAGAGAGAAUGAAAUAGACCUAUGAUGCAGUCAAAAUUUUGAUAUCCAUGAGGAUUACCGGCUGCUUGUUGCUUCCAAUUGCUGCAUACUAGCACUCAAAACUGCAGAAGCCUGAUGAUUGCUUUCCAUCUCAGUUGCUUAUCACCAGUCUUUGGGGCUUCAUCUUUUUUCAAUGUAAGCAAAGCAUCUUUCAUGCCAUGGGAUCAUGUUGCAAUAGGAGGGUUUUGGUUAAAUAUGCCUUAUUAAUCUUUAAUGUAUAAGUAGCACUGAGCAUUUGCCAAAUGGAAACAUUUAAGCAACACCUCAUGUAUCCAUUGCCAAAAUAAAUGCUGGCAGGCUACAAAAUAAUAUUUUUAAAAGAAUUUUGCAACAAACUUCAACAUGUGGGUUCAAAUAUUUCACGAUCCUUUGAUGCAUCUUGGAAAACGUGCAAAUGCAAGUUUGCCUAUUAAAAUCCUACAGUUGGGGGCUGGAAGUUUGCAAGCGUUCCUCUGAUUGAAUAGCACUUAUUCAUGAAGCAGGUCUAGUUGAGCUCAAUGAAACAGCUUGUUUGAAUCAGCACUACGCGUCAUUAGAGUUAAGUAGAAUUAGGCUCAUAAGGAAUGUUUAUGGGCAUAUGAUGUAUAUGUCUGAUUAAUAUUGAAAGCUACCUUCACAGAGCAACAUGUUAAUAAACAUAAUCACAUUUUGUGGAAUGUCUUUUAAGAAAAGCAGAGAUACACAGGGUGAGAUGGGAUUAGAAGCUGAAGUUUUUGGAUUGCCUCUCUUUACUUAAAACAUUGGCCUUAUCCGCAGUAUUACCCUGCCAUGGUAUUUUAUUUGUAUCACAACUGCCAAGAAGCUCAGGGGGCUUUACAUAGUUUCUCCCAUUUUAUCUACACAGUGAUCUUGUGAUUUAGUUAUGGUGGUAUUGACUGGCCUUAGUGAAACUCAGAAGUUGAAAAGGGUCUCUGUGGUCCAAGCAGAUUGGUGUGGAUUGCCUUUUUUCCAGCUGUGGCUGGUUUGCCCACAAUGAAUGUUUAUAGCCAGGGGUAAUCUAGCCACACUGGGCUAUUAUCUGGAAACCUCCUGUGUAGACUACUGUAUGUGGGGCUGCCCUUGAAGAGGACUCAUAAGCUUCAAUUAGCACAGAAGGCAGCUGCCAGAAUUUUAACCAGCAAGAUUGGCUCACUAAAUGAAUUACUGUACAUUGGCUGCCUAGUUGCUUCUGAGCUAAUGUAAAGGCACAGAUGCUAACCUUGAAAGUGCUAAAACUCUUGGUACUCAAAUAGCUGAAUAUACUCCUCUUUGGGCAAAAACAAGCCUGGCUAUGCUUUAAGAUUUGCAGAGAAGGGUCUUCUUUGUGCCCCACUGGUAAGGAAAGUUCAUUUUGUGGUGAUGUGGAUGAAGCCUUUUCCUCAAUUGUGCCUAUUUAUGUCAUGCCCUCCUACUAGAAACACAACAGGUACUUCUUCAUAUGUAGUAGGAACAUUAGAAUAUAUAAGUAGGGCUAUGUUGCAUAAUGCCCAAGAGUAACAUUCCUUCUGAGCACCACAAAGAUUCAAGGGUAGUGCUGAUAUCUCCUUGACAAUUCUUUACAAACUCAAAGGCCACUUUAUGAUGUGUGGACCAACUGAGGGGUCAUCACCUCAUUAAAUGAAAACCUGUUACCUUACCAACAUGGCCACGCAAUAAGGCCACAUCAAAGCACAAAUAAAAAGAGCUACUGUUCCAGAGGGAUUUGUGAGGUAUGCUAGAGAAAACCAUAAGGAAGCUGAAUGCCUCAAACACACUCAUUUGUUCCAAUACAUUUGCUGGCCAUACUCUUUAUUGGGAGGCUGCUGAAAGAUGUACACAAAACUAAAUGCUUUUCUCCUGGGUUAGCAGUCCAAAUCUGUCAUUGAUGGUUAGGGAAGAAAUUUAGCAGACAGAUGCAGUAAAUAUUUUUUUCUGAAAGCAGAAGCAGUUUGUUGCAGGGGUUAAAAAACCCAACCAAAGGGUAUGGUAUUUGUAGGACAUCGGGUGAGUUAAUAUGUAGCAACAUUUGCAUUUCCUAUUGCAUUCUAGACUGAUCACAUGCACACACAUUCGCACAGAUACACAUAGCAAUUGUGAGGCAUUAGGACAAUGGUGGCCAAUUUGCUUCUCCUUCUUUCUCUUUGUUUGAUAUGUGUGCCACAAAUCAAUCCAAACUGUGGCAUAGUGCCAUCCUGUUGUGCUCUGCAGUGCAUUAGCAAGGUUUUCUGGUACAUUUAGAUAUGGGUUGAAUAAAAUGGCAUGUUUUUCUUGUCUGCUGGGCUUGGAACAGCUAGCACAGGAGAGUCAGCCGGCCGAACUAUGCUAUAACCAGGUCUGUAGGUCGUUGAGGGAGGGGGACACACAACUUUCGGUACCUGUGAAACCCAUGCCUCCAGACAGGGCUCCUGUGCAUUAGGAACAGCGAUUAUAAAAUCAAAAGCAAUGCUGAUUGUUGAACGCAUUCUGCUUCUCCUAGAUUCGGUAGUGCAAAGCACAAGAAGUUUUUGGUCAACAAACAUACACAUGCAAAUUAAAUAGUAUCUGUAAUUCUUCCUGAGGAAAUAAUGUGAUCUGUCUUGGUAUAUAACUUGAACUUUGUAGUGUAACAGACAAGGGAACCUGUGACCUAUCUAUGGUUGCACUACAAUGUCCAUCAGGCCUGACCACUGGCUAUGCUGGAAUCCAGCAAUGUCUAGAGAGUCACAGGUCCCCCAUCCCUGUAGUACAGGGCAGACCUAAACAUGCCUGAUAAUUUUCUAACAUUUAAGUCUUGCACUUUUACAGUGCCAACUAUAGAUCCUUCCUACCUAAAAGAUACACCUAUCUGGCAAACAAUUUAGGUUAGAACUGCAGCACAGCCUUAACUGGAUGGUUGUUCCUGGACAAGGCUGAAUGGGAGAAAUAAUCAUAGUAAGCAUAUGUGAAGCAUCCUGAUUAACAUCACAGAGUCCUUGGCACCAACCCUGGUCUCAAAAUCCAGACUUUAACGGGAAUUUUGCCCAAGCUGGGACUACAGGAUCCACUUCUUGUAACAGCAAACAGAUGUUCACUUACAUUUUUUGGAGCUGAUUUUGUGCCCCCCCCCUUCCACUCUAUUUCCCUGCUCUCUGUACACUGUAGUGUUCCAUUGGGCUUCUCAAUAUAGUCACUAGCAUUUCAUGCCUUUGGCAUAGAAGAAAACAGCUAAGUUUUGGGAAGUUGCCUUGUUAAGACUUUGUAAAAAAUUAUUUUACAAACACUUUCACAUUGACAGCAGGAAUGGGACAUAGCCUGCAAUCAUAGUAGGUUAUGAAAGAGCAUUAUGGAAUCACCAUGAAAGCUGUCAAAGUCAUAUAUAUAUAUCCCACACUGCUAGCAAUUGGAAAGACACUGUAAAGGUGCAAAAGUGUUAGGAUAGGAAAGUUCUAUUUGUCUUGGUGAACUGGACCAACACUCCAUUUUUCGUGCUGUUGCAAUGCAGUGUGACCAAUCUGAAACAACUGGCUCACAUGUGCAUUAGAAUGUAUGUACAAAUGUUUAACUCGGUUGUGGGGAUUACAGCUUCAAACCCCUUUCUUAACCUUCCACUUUAUUAGAUAACCUUGAACAGACUACUCUUUCUUGGUCUCUCAACCAAGGCAGGACAAAUGACACCUAGAAUUUUGUAGCUCUCAAGAUGGAUGGGGCUUAACUAUCUUAUUGUUCUUCCUAAACUACAGCUUUCUUACCUGAAGUGUAAUUUACUGAUAGUCUCUUAGAAACCACAAAGCUGUUUCUCCUAAAAUGAGGAAUCAUCCCACCUCUCAAGUAUAAAAUCCAGCACUGUAGUCUGAUGGACUGGAAUUUAACUCUUCUUGCACAGCAGUAAUUAACACUGAUAAAUGAGAGGGCACGUCCGUGAAAGACCUUGGCAAGCAAAGCACAUUGCUGUGGUUUGCUAAAUGCUACUCAUGCUGCCUUAAUGGAAUUAUUGCUUUCUAAAACAUGAGUGCUUUUCCUUGUCAGAGGACCACAAUCAUCUUCCAGAGCAAAGGAGUUCCUCCUCCCCUUCUUUUUCUGUGUGGUGUGAACCACUAAAUAUAAACAGAGUAUCAUGUUUAGAACUACUACUACUGUGGUAAGCCACAUGAAUUUUGUGUUUUGUCAUUCUAUCACAUUGGAUAUUCAAGCCAUAUACAGUGGUACCUCGGGUUACAGACGCUUCAGGUUACAUAUGCUUCAGGUUACAGACGCUUCAGGUUACAGACUCUGCUAACCCAGAAAUAGUACCUCGGGUUAAGAACUUUGCUUCAGGAUGAGAACAGAAAUCGUGCAGCGGCGGGGUGGCAGCGGCAGUGGGAGGCCUCAUUAGUUAAAAUGUUACCUCAGGUUAAGAACAGUUUCAGGUUAAGAACGGAUCUCCAGAACGAAUUAAGUUCUUAACCCGAGGUACCACUGUACUUCAUUAUUUGAGGUUUGCUUGAGGAUUACAGAUUAGCUUGUUGCAUUGGGGGAGUCUCCCACAGCAGCUGGGAUGGUUCAUGUAGAGAGGAGGGAAGGAUGAGAGGGAAGGGGCAAGACUGUUCCGGUCACAAUGAAUCUAAGGUCCAUUCCUCAUCUGACUUUUAUUGGAUGAAUACAAUUCAAAACAGCACCUAAGCCCCACUACUUUAUGCCUUGACCAGCCAUGAACUUCACAUUGGCCUGGACAGAAUGCUAGCUCCUAACCUGCUGCACAGUGACUAACCAUUAUUCUUGAAGAUGGUUGAGAAACUGCUGCUGGUACAGUUGGGUGCAGGUGUCUGAUUGUUGAAUGGGGCAGCAAAAUGAGACCAUAUAUUACUCAUUUUAUUCUUAUUAUUCUUGUUCUUUUUUAAAUUAAAUUUCUAUACUUCCCUUGAUCAGAGGAUCACAGCAGCUGGCAGUAGCAGCAGCAAAAGAAAGAGAAAGGAAAAAAAGAAAUGUAAAAAACCCAACUGUCCUGCAAACAACAGUGGUGCCUGGUUGCUUUUCAGAAGAUGUAGGAUAACCUGCUAUCUAUAGUUUGAUCUUUUGUGGUCCAGUAAAAGGGCUCUUAACUUUUGUGAUUGCAGAGCAUGAGAAAGUAUGAGCAGCAAUUGUUGUUGAUCUUAAUGCAGAUUCCCUUUGAAGAGUUAGAUUGCACUGCUGUGGACCUAUGUAUGUACAUAUUAACAUUUUAAAGUGUCUCAUCUCUGCAUCCUCAAGCAUAACUUGGAAUGGUAUAAUUCCAUCUCAAGUAGGUCCUUCUAAAAUUCAGUAAUGUAAAGGGAGAAGAGAGUUCACUUUUGAACAGAAUCCACUUGGUGGUCUCUAAUUUAGACUCCAUUAAUAGUAUAUAAACAAUCAGCCAUAAACCUGUAAUACUAGUCUGCAUGCAAGCUAGCAUAUAUGACUGAGGAGAGAUUGAGAUGAGCAACAUCUCGUUUCCCAAUCCUGCCUUAACUCUUUGGGUCAAAUGUACCAAGUUACUGCAGCUUGAGUGGUGAUACCCAAUAGACAGUGCUGCCAUAACCAAACAUGGUUGAUCCCACACCAGCACUUGUGAACUAUUAUGAAAACUUAAGGGUAGCCUUCCUUGCCUUUCCCAAAGCUGAUGUAACAGCAGAACACACAUAAUAGUUUCAGAGGCAGCAAAUGACAUGUAUUGCUUUAUUGAUUGUUACAUGUUUGUUGAGACUAAAAAACCACUGGAAAACCCAACACUACACUAGGAAAGUGCAUGUAAGACGGUCUUGUUAAGAAUCAAUUCUACAAGAAGAGGGACAGAUAUGGCGGUAAGAAGAAAGGGUGGUGUGAAUCUAUGGCUCCAUCCUUACUACACAUUUAGAGCAGUAUCAUACCACUUUAAACAGCCAUGGCUUCCCACAAAGCAUCAUGGGAAGUGUAAGUUGUUAAGGGUGCUGAGAGUUGUUAGGAUCUGUGUAGAUCUGUGAGGGGAAUAGGGGUCUCCAAACUCUCAACCCCCAUAGGAAGCCACAGUUCCCAGGAUUCCUUGUGGGAACCCAUGACUGCUUCAAAUGAAUAGUGCAGAUGGGACCUACCAUGUCUAGCUUGUCAAAAAGAAUACUGGCAAAAAUGUUACUAGAAGAAAUGUGAGAAAAUUCUGCAUCUUUUCCAGUCUUUACAAUCCUAUGGCAAAAAUAAUGUGUGACCCUGUCUCUUUAGUGAGGUCAAGCGGCACAGGGUCUUUACCUCAACAGAAGAUUCCCUGGAUCAUUUCCUGUACUAUUUAAUUCAACAUGAUGUGAUUUUCUCUCUCCAGUGGAUUCAGUGUCUCAGUAAGGCAAUAAGACACAAACAAACCAUACCUUGCGAAAAUGCUUUGUGAUUAUUUGGCAAGGCAUCUGCAGUAUAUGAGGGACUGCUAUUAAUAAUAAAAGUAUGUUGCUGAAAAUAGAGCUGCAAGCUAUAAGGGGAGGGGAAACCCAAAGGAAUUACUGGGCCUUAUUGCACCAUAUUUGGCUCUUCCAGCAAAGUAGUCGAAUGUGCCAAAUAUGAGUAAUUUUUAAACAAAGAAAUCUAUGCAUGGAUUCUGGAUUCCAAAGGGGGAAACUAAGAAAAUUGAAGUUGGCAAUGAAUGCACAUUUGUACAACUAAUGGAUUCUUUUCUUGUUUCUGGCCUCUCAGUUCCUAAAGCUUCUGAGAGGCAGCAGAGGGGUGUUUUCAGCAGGCUGCCUUAGUGACUGGCCUCUUUUAGCAUUAGGCUUAUUAACAGGCCUCCACCUCUCAGAUAUUUCAGGGCAUAUAUGGGUUUUCAGUAGCUGUCUUUCUAAAGGAAAUGUGGGGAAACUGUAUGAUACUUCAAAUGUGUCCCUGGGAAUUUGGUACCACACAGUAGAGAACCCUUGGCCGCUAUCUUAGGAACAGGAAGAAAGAGUAAGUGGCCACUUACUCUUUCUUGCCAUGGGAUGAGAGAGUACAGAUGAGCACUCUGCCUUACAAUUCUAAUAGCCAAUAUCUAUGGCUUUAAAGGAACUAUUUAUUUUCAUAGUGGAUUUUGGUCCACCAAGGUAAAUAGAUGAAGCUCACUUUUGGAAUGCAUUUUAUCAGGUUUCCGGAGCUACUUUCUUCCUAUUCAGCAGUAGAGAUAGAUCUGCAUAUGGCUGUGGAUGAACCUGGACAAAGCUUUGUGUUUGCAUGUUCCCCUCUUCUCUUCAAGCAUGACUGGAUGGAGUUUAGUUUAACUUUAAAAAAAUAAUAAUCACAGUUUAACAUUAUGUCUGGACUAGAUACCGUAUCUUGGGUUUAAAACAAACCCUGGUAUGUUUCAGAACAAGCAGACUUCAAAGGCCCAGGGUUAUGAAACUGGUUUGUUAAACUAACCAUUGCUUGUUGGAAAUCAGGGCCCCUAAUUUGAAUGGAAUGCUAAAUCAUGAUUGUGCGAAAGUGAACGAAAAUGCUAGCAAAGGGAAUUUAGGAGUACAUGAGUCUGAUACUUAUUCGCUCAGGGUUGUUUGGGCUCAGCCACAAAGGAGUAAACCACCGUUUAGCAUUGCGUGCAAACAUGGCCAGAGAAUUCAAGCCUGGAGAUUGUGAAACUAGUCUCUCUAACACUUGGAGACUAUGCAGAUUUAAAUGGUAUCUAAAGAAUAAUCCUGAAAUGAGUUAGGUGGGAAUAAACAGCUAACCAAAUCUCACAUAAAGGGGCCUGUACUGGAACUAGGCUCUUGUUUGUGAAUUUACAGUCAAAAGAUUCUUCUUUUUUUGCAAUCCAUUCUUGUUCUGCAUCUUUUUAAGACUGAUGAGCAUAGCAUUGUGUUGUUUUUUAAAACAUUUGGAAGCAGUAUAAUCUUCUAUCUCUGCACUGCCCCCUUAUUUAGAUUAAAAUCUUUAAAGAGCAUUUGAUAUGGUGACCUUUGGUUUACAAAAUAGAGACUUUAGCAAGGAAUGCUGAUUGCACAUUGGCUGCUGCUCUUUGGACCAGACUAAGGCUAUCAAGAUAAAAAUGUUAGGACACAAAAUCCUACAGAAAUCUUAGGAGCAGGCAGAGCUGGUUCCAAACUCUAUUUUUUUUCUUAAAGGAAUGGAAGGAAAACAAUAUAUUCUGAAACAGUCACCCUGUGGCAAACAUCCCACCACAUAUAACUUCUAGGCUUGCUAUUUUCAUACUACUUUUUACAUCGAUUUGCAUCAUAGCUUACUUUGAGAAUGAUCACUGUUUCUAUUUAUUAAUUCUUGCUUUGUGCUCCUAAACUGUUCAAAGAAACUGAAAUCAUGCAUGCACUAAGCACCUUGAAAGAGAUUAUUAAUAAUAGAAGCAGAACGCGUUUAAAUUCAGAUUAUUAUUUUUUUUAAAGUCAAAUGGGAUAGGAAAAGAAGGCAAAGAAGCAUAUUUCGUUAUUCUAGCAAGGCAGACUGAAUUAACACAAAUAAACAACUUUGUAAGAUAAAUGGACUCGUUCCUUUGGAACUUUCUUCACAUAUUGACCGUUGAGAUUAUGGCUCCUAUCACAUGAUUAGAAACAUGUUGUGCAUUUUCUUUUUAAUCUCUGAAGAGCCAAGAUCACAACCCAAGCCCUGCUUGUGACAUAGCAUUGCUUGUGCAGGUAGUCUACUUGCAUAAGUGGUGUAAUUUACAGAUAAUUCAAUAUCUAAACUAAACUUUGCCAACCUGGUGCCCUUCAGAUGUUUUGGACUACAGCCCCAACAAGCCGCCUCCGAGCUUCAUGUUGGCAAAUGUUAAUCUAAAUUUGCUAUUAGGCUGUUCUCUCUCUUUCACCAGUAAACAGGGUGGUGUGGCUGAUUCUCAUGUGACAAAAUCACACUGGAGAUGUGCUGCCUGAUGGGACAGCGAUGAGCCAAGCAGCUGUGGGCAAAAAGGUACGCUUCAGGUGUCAACUGCAAACAAUUAAAUCCCCUCCCCACAACCAGCAUAGAGCAAAAUGCCACCACUGUUUUAGAUCUCAUCCAAUGCACUCUGCUUUUGCUUGUGUCAUGGUUGUGUGUCCAAUCUGUCUGCCUGGUAACAAGUAGGUGCACAGCUGAAAAAAGACCUUCCCCUAGUAGUCACCGCCCAUCUGAAGCAUAGCUGUCAACGUUUCCCCUUUUUUUAAGGGAAAUUCCCUUAUUCCGAAUAGGAUUCCUCGCAAGAAAAGGGAAAAGUUGUCAGCUAUGAUCUGAAGGACCUUAGUAGAAUCUUAACAUCAGGCAGGUACAUAUGGAAGUAGGCACUCUGAGGUAAAAGCAUCAGAAAAUAGCCAAGCUGUUCAACCAGAUUGCUAUGGGAAGCCUAUCAUAUCUUAAGGCUAGGUAGAAAUUUUACAGUUAAAACAAGUAUCUUGAACUGGAUUUAGAAAUGAACUGGUAGCCACUUGGAGAACUGGUGAAAUAUGUUCCCAGUAGACUGCCUUGGUUAGAAUCCUAGUAACCUCUUAUUGAAUCAGCUUCAGUUUCCAAAUUGUAUUCAAGGUAGGCACUAUGCACAACACAUUAUAGUAGUCUAAAUGGAAGGGUCCAGAGCAUGGAUCACAAUAGUGUAGCUGUUCAUAAUUACAGUAAUUAUUUCUAUAUUAUUAUUAUAGUAAUUAUUUCUAUACUUGCAUAUAUACAUAUACAUUAGAAUAUGGAAAUUUUAUUCAAAUCAGUAUCCUACUCUCACCUCUUUUUUGAUGAUGCAUUUUCUCUUUUUUGGCGACAUGUAAGUGGCCAUGCUUGGAUUUCUGUCACGUUCUAAUUUCAUUCAUCAUCUCAGAAGUGCUUGGUGUCCUUCAGUUUAGGUGCAGAUGGGGGAAGAAGGUCACAAAUUUCAACAGGGAAAGUUUUCCCUUUCCCAAAAGAAACAGCAAUUCCAUAGUGUUCCAGAAAUAUUUGUUAGAGUAAUACAAAAUGUGAGAGUUGAAAGCAUUCCAUUACAGUAAUAAUGAUAUUAAAGAAUUGGCUACUAGUCUCAUGAUUCAUGAAACAAUAAUCAAAAGAAAAGUUUGUUUCAGUAACAAAAACUUGCUAGAAAGAAAGAAACUGGAAUUCUAUGAACAAAAUAAAUUCUGUUCUUCUCAGAUAACGUGAAAACUGAUGUCACUUCUAAUUCUCUUGAGGGAAAAAUGGCUACAGUUAGAAGUACAUCAAUGCAGCCAUUUAUUACCCAGACCAGUCUAUAAAAAGACAUUGUGUACAAGUUUUCACUUUCCAUGCCAGAAAUGCAUUCCUGGAACAUAACUGCAGUCUUUUUUUAUUUAGUAAUUUAGAUAAUAGUUUCUCCAUGAACUUUCAUAACAUUUAUUUACUACCCUAAAGGAUUCAGUCGAGUGCUUGUGGAAUCCUUUAGCAUCUAACAUUUUCAUUAUAUUAUAUAGGUUCAUGAACCUUAUGUGGAAAAUAAUCUUAGUAGGCAGAUUUACAUGAAUUUACAAGCUUUACGGAGAAGCACAGAGGAGAGAAGUAUGUAGGAUUAUAUCAAGGGGAAAUGUGCUGGCUGGAACAAUUGUGGGAACAUGAGGAAGGGGAGGCAAAGGAUGCAAACAAUUAUGAAAUCCAGUGGUGUUCAUCCACCAGCAGAAUGGACUUUCCUCUGGUGGUUUGGGGUUAUGAUUAUGCUUCCAGAGCAGAUUUUGGGCAGAGGGUUCCAGGGGGAGGAAAGGAAUGGAAAAGAGCAGAAGUUCACUUGCAUGAUACUAGAUGUUGCGUAUUGAGUUAUUGGGUCAAGUAGGACUCUAGCAUUUUGCCUGCAUAUUAUUAUCAAUUUUAAAAUCGGGAAAGGUUGGGAAAUGAAGCUUCUCACAUGCCAAAUGAAUUAAGUUCUUUAUUUUGCAUUUUAUUUAACAACCUCUAGGUACCUGUGAGAAACAAUUAAAAUGUCGUCUGACAUCUUCCCUAACUACUCCUGUAUAUAAUAGCUUAUAUAUCUUAUAUAUCCACAAAUCCUUUUCUAUCUGAAUGAAAGAUGUUCAGACUAUUAGGGCUCCUUACCCAAUUUUAUGUUUAAAAAUCCCAUUGUUAGUUCUGGAAAGCAAUUAAAAACAAACAAACAAACAAAAAACCUUCGACCUCCCAGAGCCCUUUUACUUUCUUAAUUAAAAAAAACCCUCCCCAGUUACUUUAAUUUUCAAUUUUAGCUCUAUGUCACUAGUUUCUUACUUUGCUUUGUUUUGUGUUCAACACAGAUAAUUAAUCCAUAGAUAAGUAUCCAUGAUUUCUUUAAUGAUAUAGCUAAAUUAUAUAGUUUUCAGGCACAGUACCACACCCACACCUGGAAGUUGCUUGUAUUUACAUGUUUGUAUCUUUAACAUUUUAUUUUAAAUAUCAGAUACUGUACUUCAUUAAUUUAUUUAAUCUUCUGUAAAGUAGAUUAAAAUAAAUGUUUAAGAAGCUGGUUUCUCAUAGAGGCCUUGUGUAUUUUCAAAAUCAACAUGAUAUGAUUAGUAUUUAUUUAGGCUGCUUUUCUGAGCGAAUGCCCAUCUAAAGCGGCUUGCAGGCAAAACAGAUAAAAAACAGUACAGAGUUUAGAACCGUACACAAAUUUACUUUUAACACACAACUCAACAGUUGAACAGUGGUACCUCGGUUUAAGAACAGUCCGGUUUAAGAACGAUUUGGUUUAUAAACUCGGCAAAACCGGAAAUAGUGUCUUGGUUUGAGAACUUUACCUCAGUCUAAGAAUGGAAUCCGAACGGUGGAAGGGCACCGACGGUGGUAGGCUGCAUUAGGAAAAGCGCACCUUGGUUUAAGAACGGACUUCUGGAACAGAUUAAGUUCGUAAACCGAGGUACCACUGUAUCAAGUAUCAGGUAUCAAACUUUCUUUCGGUCACAGACCAGCAUAAGAUAAAACAUGAAUAAACUGAACACAUAAGACUUAAAUCAGGCAAGGAAUGAAAAACUAGUAAUUAGUAAGGGACAAACAGUUAAAAGCUACUAUAAGGGAGGGCGCGUGAAGGAGCAGAGACCUUGCAUUUGGGGCCUAGUUUGUGGCGCAAACCAUCCUUUGGUAGCACAGAAUCUAGCAACUGAGUAUGUAACAUAUGGGUUUUCAUCUUGAAGUAGCAGGAAGGUAUAAAGUUGUUCUGUGCAACCUGGGAAUUUAUGUAAUAUAGGCAAGUUGAACCUAGCUGGUAUAUCUGUAUAGUAUUGGCAGUGAAAAAAGACAUGUUCUGUUAUUUCCAGUUGCCCAGAGCCACAUGGGCCUUUCCUCUCCUCAUAUGGUAUCUUCCAAAAGUUGCCUUCUUGGAUGGCUAAAGGGAGGGCCUGGCAACGUACCAGAGUGAAAGCCCUUUGCUGUUUUGGAAUUUCAAGGUUCAUCAUAUAUGGCAUCUGGGAGGUGAAGUGUCUUCUGGUUUCACUGAUUAAAAAUGUCAGGGACCUGGCUAGAUCUUCUUGGCAUUUUGUAUCUUCUACACCCUGUUUGAUGGUUUUUGGGGCUUGUUAAAACCCAAGUCAAGUAGGCUCUGCAGGGUGAAGCCUAGAGUUGUUAUUAUGUUUAUCACUGCACAUUUCCAUGUCGUUCAGAAAUAAUAAUUAAGGGAGAAAGGCCACGCAGGAGGAGAGAGAGUCUCAGCCAGUAAUUUAGUGUGGUGAUCCUUACAAACCCAGUUUCAAGACGUAUGGCAGCAUUGGAGAUGUGUUUAAGCACUUGUAGGGCUGAUCUUAAGAACUUAGAUUGUACCAGUUCUAAUGGUGUGCAGUUGGCAAAGGGGCCUAAUUGGGCACCAUAUACAAGUUGUGCAAUGAAUUUGGCCUCAAAAAGUUUGAGGGCUGCAGGUAUAUAUUGUCCGCCUUUAGUCCUGAGGUACCUGAGUAUUGCAUUUAUGCAUCUCUGGGCAUUCCCUGCAACAUAAUCCCCAUGGGCUUUUCUACUUCCUGAAGAGUGAAGGGUUAUACCCAAAUAUUUGAAGCGGGUGACCUGCUCAAUCUUAUGGCCAUUGAUGUACCAUGAGCAAGGUUUGGGCCUUUUGGCAAUGAUUUUGGUUUUCUGAUAAUUUAGUUUGCUCUCCUUGCAGUAUACUGCUAAUGUUUUCAUGGCUCUUUUAAGGCCUAUAGGAGUUCUUGAGAGGAUUGCUGCGUCAUCUGCGUAAAGCAGCACAGGGAUAGAUAUGCUUUCCUGCUAGUUUUGGAGGCUGUAAGUUCAUGUUGUAGAAGAGAGGUACCAUAUCAUUUAUAUAGAAAUUGAAUAAAAAUGGGGCCAAUAUGCACCCUUGAUUGAUGCCUUUUUUGGUUUGGACUGCGCCCCAUUGGCCAGAUUGAACCCAACAUCGAGGGACCUACCAAUCGGGUGUUAUGGCAGACCAAUCUUACCCACCCACAACACAGGAGGUCAGUCUCCAGGUCUCACUGCAACACUUGCCCUCUUUUAGGGAGGACACAUUGCUGUAGGGUAACCAUAGCGAAGGACUAUUCACCUUACCGACCUAAGGCAUGGUACACCAGGAGAGCCAGUGGAGCAGAUCGGAAACUGCAGAUUGAAUGGUAAGAGUGCACAUAUAUUCCAAUUAAUAGCUUUGGCCCAAACCAUUUAGUGCUUUAAAGGAAAACCAGCAGUCUAAAUUGCGCCUGGAAACACACUGGCAGCCAGUGCAGCAUAUAUAUUUGCAUAUGAACGAGGCCAUACAUACACUGUCUUCUAACUGUAUUUACUCUUACUCCUUACUGCCCAAAUACAUUCCUUCCUUCCUUCCCUUCAUUUCCUCUGCUGCUAAAAACGUAGAUUACGUUCCAUAGGACAGAGAUAAAUUUAUUUAUUUAGAAUGCAAGGGUUCAGUCCAAUCCAAAUACCUUUAUUGUACUAGCUAUUGGCCAUGACAUGCAAGGUUUUGGAAUCAUUCCCACAAAGUCUGUCAAAUCAGAACAGGGAAACUCUUUGCUGAGAUUCACGUCAGAAAAUGGGGUUAUUUGUAUACUGUAUUAAAAACGUAUGUGCUGCAGAGAAGCUGACUGUGCCAUGUUAUUACAGUGAAAAAGAUGUCCCGCAAUAUAUUCAGCAUACUUCAGUAUCACCAUAAAUAAGAAACAAUAUUUGUGGUGACCAUCAAGCGAUUAAAAGAAAAUAAAAGAAUGGAUUUGAGUACUGUAGUUAACAUUAGAUUCAAUCGGAUAGUUGCAGGAAGUUCUGAUUUUCUCUCCCCAAAUUAAUGCUUGCUGGCUAUGAGUAAUAUUAUCAAUAAUUCAUCACCCGAGUUCAUUUCGAUAUGAUCUGUUGAUGCACACCACCAGAGCACAUGGCAGUAAUAUGAGCAUUUAGGUGAUUUACAGAUCUACAAAAUAGCAAAUAAUCAGAAAUUUCUUCAAGUGACAGCCUGCAAGGGCUUUUGAACAUCUGAAAUGAGGAUGUGCAGCGAGAUCAGUAUAUUAUAAAUCACGUUUGUCUUUUUUUAGUACUCUUUGGUGGUCCCAGGGUAGAAGUGCAUGCACUUAGACCAUCUACUUCCAACACUGUUUCCAGUGCCUAAGUGACAGAUUGUGUUUUAUAUAAUGGUGCUCUUUCUAUAUCCUUAUUAACUCUUUAGUCCCUCAAGGCAUUUUACAUUCACUGGUGUACAUCAUGGAUACAGGCACUAUGUGUCUGCAAAUAUUUAUUUAUUUAUUUAUUUAUUUAUUUAUUUAUUUAUUUAUUUCAGUGUCUGUUAAUCCUGAUUGUUGUGGUCUUGAAUAUGAAUCAUUUAAUAAAGCAAACCCUGCAAUGGCAACCCAUUCUAUUGCUUUGUAAUAGUAAUGCAUCUUCAUUUCUUUAUAUGCUGCACUUCCUACAUAUAGCAGUCUCUCCAACUCUGUCCUGUCUGUCCACUCUAGGCUGCUCCGUAGAGUCCCUAAGUACAUGGAGAGGGGUUACGUGCAUGUGAUUGUUGCUAUGAGGUGGGCAAAACCUCUAGAUAGGCCCAAUUUGUCUGCAGACAAAUUCCUCCCUGGCCCUGAAUACGGCAACCAGUUAAUUCCACAGCAAGGUUGUGCUAGAGCACUGCCUGCUUACCUGCAGGCAGGGCCAAAAGAUAUAGGGUGGGAUGUCCGUUGCCGACUAACUGCUCACUCACAGCACUACCGGAAUAUUGUGCUAUGGGGGCAGGUCUAAGUGAAGACUAGCUCCCCUAAGACCACCUCCAGAACCACACCCACUGGAAUGGCCACAAUUGGCCAAUUUGAAGUGCAGUUUUUGUCAGGACAACUCAGAAGACCCUGUAACUGGCCAAGGCUGUUAGUGCCACCAUUGGUCACUUGGGUUAGGACUUCUGCCCACCUGGUUCCCCAAUGAAUUUAUAUAGAGUGUUUGUAUUGCUACUGCUGUGGUUUUAGGCUUUUUUUUUAGUUUAAGUUUUAUUGUACUGAAUGUGUGGCUACUCUGUAAAUUUCUGUGGGUAUUCUGCGAUAGAAAAGUAAUAUGAUAAAUACUGUACAAAACAUAAUAAUUUAAAUGGAGGUGAGAGCAUCCUGUAGAGGUGAUUUCACUUGGUACUAGUUUAGAACCUUUUUUUAUAAAGUGUUACGCAGUGCAAUGCUAUACAUGGUUACUUGGAGCUAUCUCCCACUCAAUUCAAUGGGGCUUUUUAUCUAGUAAGUAUGCUUAGCACGGUGCUAGCCAUUCCUUGAGAAUGGCACUCUGUGUAUUAUGUAGGCAUUUCUUCAUAUAGUUGUACAAAAAGGGGGUAACUCAGAUAAUAAUUUUGUUUAUGGUUUUGCCUUGGAGGGGAAAAAACCAGGGUCCUUGUGUAUUCUGCAAUGUGUCAUGACUAAAAUGUUUGUCUGCCUUUUGCUAGAGGUGGAGAGUGUUUUUGUCUGAGACACAGCUGCAUGAUAUGGAUUAGCCCUAAACAGGACCCAACUUGUAUUUGUGGUCUCUGGUCUUGCUUAAGAACACUUUUGCAAAUAUUUCACACAGGAGGCCUUAUUUUACUAGGGCAUGGAUUCCUUGGCCAGAACUGAUGUAGCCUAAUCAUUAUAUCUUCCACACACGAAAGGACUUCUGCAAUGUCUUGAAACCUGAUGAGGAACUUGUGGUAAAAGCCAAGAAUGUUGCAUCCACGGGUGGGCAUUCUAUAAGAAGAAUCUCAAAUUGCCAUCAUGAAUUUAUAUAUGCAAUGGUGAACACAUUGUUCAAUUUGAUCAGAAACUUUUUUAUGUUCUUGACAUGUGUGGAGAACGUGCCUUGUGCUUUCAUAGUAUGCUUUUCCUUAAGUAAACUUUUUUAUCAGCUGGCUAGGCAAGAGAUAUGCCUUUCUGAGGACAUCUAGGGACAUGAAUGUGGUCUGUAACUGAACUAGUAAGCUAUAGAAAAAGCCGGUCGAUCACAUAGAGUUAUAGACUGAAUUCUCUAAAGCAGCAACUGUGUGGAUUCAAAAUUCGAGACUACAAAUCAAACAGACUUAUUUCUUGACAGUACAAGAUAAUUGAGAGGCCUUAGAUUAGGUAUGCCCCAGGAUGUGUAUGAUAACAUAUGAGCCUUUCUGGAUCAGGCCAAUGGCCUAUCUAGUCCAACAUCCUGUUCUCACAGUGGCUGACCAGAUGUCUAUGGGAAACCUGAAAGAUAGACAGGAGCAUUAUUAUUAUUAUUAUUAUUAUUAUUAUUAUUAACCACCCUGUACCCCAAGGUCUUAGGGUGGUUCACAGAAUAAAAUCAAAAUAUAAAACCACAAAAUGCGUAAUAAAAAUAAAAACAACAACCACCCAAUAACCCCCCACCCCCCAAACCCCCACAUUUUAAAAGGGCAUAGGAUGUUAAUCAAAUCAAACAAAGGCCUAGUUAAAAAAGAUCAUUUUUGCAUGGUAUAAUAAAGGCGAACUUCCCUGGGGAGAGCAUUCCACAGAUGGGGAGCCACUGCAGAGAAGGCCCAUUCUCAUGUUGCCACCCUCUGGACCUCUUGAGGAGGAGGCACACGAAGAAGGGCCUCAGAAGAUGAUCUCAGGGUCUGGGUAGGCCCAUAUGGAAAGAGGGAGUCCGUGAGGUACUGUGAUCCUCAGACAUUUAAGGCUUUAUAGGUCAAAACCAGCACUUUGAAUUGGGCCUGGAAACUAAUUGGUGGCCAGUGCAGUCGGACCAGGAUCAGUGCAAUAUGCUCAUACUGUUUUGCUCUGGUGAACAACCUGGCAGCUGAAUUCUGCACUAGCUGAAGUUUCUGAACUGUCUUCAGAGGCAGCCUUAUGUAUAACACAUUGCAGUAAUCUAACCUUGAGGUUACCAGAGCAUAGACAACAGUAGAUAGGCUAUCCUUGUCCCGAUAGUGGCGUAGCUGGGCCACCAGCCGAAGCUGAUGGAAGGCACUCCAGGCCACCAGAGCCUUGAGUGACAGCAAAGGAUCCAGGAGUACCCCCAAGCUACAGACCUGCUCGUUCAGAGGAAGUGUAACCCCAUCAAGAGUAGGCAAUCUCCUACCCAUCUGUCUAGGGAACCACCCACUAACAGUGCCUCAGUCUUAUUGGGAUUGAGUUUCAGUUUGUUGGUUCUCAUCCAGUCCAUUACUGAGGCAAGAAACUGGUCCAGCACUUCCACUGCCUGACCUGCAGAUGCAAAGGAGAAACAGAGCUGCAUGUCAUCAGCAUACUGCUGACAACGUACUCCAAACCUCUGGAUAACCCCACCCAGCGGUUUCAUGUAGAUGAACCCCACAUUGAAGGUUUCAUGGGCCUGAAAAGCACUCCCCAAGCAACACCCUUUGGGAACAACCAUCUAAGUAGGACUGGAACCACUGCAAAGUGGUGCCACCCACCUCUAGUUCGGAAAGUCGCUCCAGAAGGAUACCAUGGCCAAUGGUAUUGAAAGCCACUGAGAGGUUGAGGAUAAUUAAUAGGGACAUGUUUCCCUUCUCUCUCUCUCGACAGAGAUCAUCUUUUUUUUUAAUGAUAUUUAUUAAAGUUUCAAAAAAUACAAGAAAUACAGAAUACAGAAAAAAGAAUAAAGUUUUUAAAAUAUAACAAAAAAGUAAAAAAUAAAAGGAAACAUACAAAAUAAAACAGUUAAAAAGACAUUAAUUUUCCAUAACCUAUCUUCCCUACACUUAUUUCCCCGGACCUCCUCGUACCUCCCUUUUUUGUAUUCCAGUUCAGUUUGUUAGUUCAGCAAAUCCUUACCAUUAAGCUUUUACCCAAUUGUAAACCUUUUUUUCAUAUCUCUUAAAGCAUUACAGCUAAAAACCUCUUAGUUUCUAUCCAACAUCCUUCUAAAAUUCCUUAAUUUUACAAUAUUUCUGUAAAUAGUCUUUAAAUUUCUUCCAGUCUUCUUUCACCGACUCUUCUCCCUGGUCUCGGAUUCUGCCAGUCAUUUCCACCAAUUCCAUGUAGUCAAUCACCUUCAUCUGCCAUUCUUCCAGAGUGGGUAGAUCUUGUGUCUUCCAAUACUUUGCGAUGAGUAUUCUUGCUGCUGUUGUGGCAUACAUAAAAAAGGUUCUGUCCUUCUUUGGCACCAAUUGGCCGACAAUGCCCAGAAGAAAGGCCUCUGGUUUCUUCAGAAAGGUAUAUUUAAAUACCUUUUUUAUUUCAUUAUAAAUCAUCUCCCAGAAAGCCUUAAUCCUUGGGCACAUCCACCAAAGGUGAAAGAAUGUACCUUCAGUUUCUUUACAUUUCCAACAUUUAUUAUCGGGCAAAUGAUAGAUUUUUGCAAGCUUGACUGGGGUCAUGUACCACCUGUAUAUCAUUUUCAUAAUAUUCUCUCUUAGGGCAUUACAUGCCGUAAACUUCAUACCUGUGGUCCAUAACUGUUCCCAGUCAGCAAACAUAAUAUUAUGUCCAACAUCUUGUGCCCAUUUAAUCAUAGCAGAUUUCACCGUUUCAUCCUGAGUAUUCCAUUUCAUCUCGACAGAGAUCAUCAUACAGAUAGACCAAAGCAGUUUCUAUGCCAAAACCAGGCAUAACAGCAUUCUCCCCACUUGCAGUUCCCAGCAUGAUUCCCCUGACAGUGGAGGUAAAACACAGCCUUCAUGGUUGGUAGCCACUGGUGAGCAAUACAAGGUUUGUUAUUUCAGUGCCUUUGUCUUGAGUAAAUCUCCAAGGGCAGAGGUUGCUUUCCACAGUAACAUAUACUAAAAAUGUAUAGGAGCAAAUAGUAAAUCAGAAGUGACAAUGUCACAGUGCUCAGAGUUUCUUUACUCCCACAAAUGUCAGUCAUGGAAUGAAAAUGAUGACUGUCAGGGGCAAUGGCAUAAUGAUGGCAUCUAACGGUAAGGCAGAGUUAAACAAAUCAAGGCUUACUGGGAAUGAGCAAGCAUGCUGCUCACAUCAUGUCUGUCUCCCCCAUUUGCUGUGCUGGGAAGAAACAAACCAAAGUUUUUGGGAGGAAACAAUCCUUAGUGCUUUUGUGUGAACCAGUCCUCAUGAAUUCUUUCUCUCCAAACAAGCCAUGAGGAUAAGCCAAGAACAGACCAUGUUUCAGGAUGCAUGCUGGUGCCAAGUCCCUUUUCUGAAAAGUCUUCCAGUAGGUCUUUGAGGUGCCAGAACAGCACCACUAUCAGAAAUUAUUCUGCUGGUGUAUCUCUGGGUCUCAUCUGCAUUACUUAACCACUGUGUGUGAAUUUGAUAAGCUAUUUUAAGGGUGUUAAGGAGACCUAAUCUACCUUGUGAUAUUAAACUUUCAGCAUGUGCGUUUGUGUGAAAACACACACACACACACACACACACACACACACACACACACACACUUCAUCAUAGCCAGAGUUCCCUUCACUUCCUUUUCAAUCAUCCACUUACUGUGCAAAAUCACUUUCCAGCUGCUUAUACCCCUUGACAGUUGGGUGUGUGAAAGUACAUCUGUCAGAGCAUUGUAUAUUCAAAGGUUGGCUCAUCUGAUAACAGUUCGUAUUACUAGAUAUGUCAGCUUCUAUUGUGUACCCACAGCUAUUUAUUAGGCCUAUGUAAAAUGUAUUUCCACCACCUCCCCCAAAUCCAAGUAAGUGCUGUUGUCUUUUUAAGUUUAUCCUUUUUGACAGAUAAAAGCUGAACAAGGAUGUCUACACCUAAAAUAAGGUUGUUAUUGCCUCAAGGGAAAUAUUGGAUGCAUGAGAACGUUUUUGCUAAUUGUAGAAUAGAGAGGCCCUUUAUUUUGGCAGGGAAAAGUUGCAGGCUGCUUAUGGCACAUGCAUAUACUUGCAAUGCAAUUACAUUUAGGGUUUGAUCUAGCAUCGCUAGUGUAUGGUGUCUAUAUUUCCCCCUUAAUAUAUUUCUUUGGUGUUCUGUGUAAUACGUGCUAGAUAGAAGGAAUUAGCUUAAUACAAACAGUUCUUAGUAACCAGAUACAGCAUUGGAGUCAACCCACAUUUGAAAUAAAUCCAAACAUUGCUUUUUGUAUAAUUACCAUGUCAAGAACUUUAGAUUAUUUAAAAUGGCAAUCUUUCACCUCACCAAUCAUAAAUCAUGAUAGAGGACUUUACUGUGUAUCUUGCUAUCUAUUACUUGUCAAAUGAGUCUCAAAUCGUUCAGUGUAUGUGCUCUUUACAUUUUUUUAUUUAUUAAUUAAAAAUCCCCUUCAUACCAGUAUUUAAAAUGUAGUGAUGCAAUUAUAAAUUUUAGAUAUUGUACCUUUUGGGAUUUGAGGGGAUUUUUGACAUAUCAAAAUUAUUUUAUUAGAUGAAAUGCUUCUAUUUCAUUAGAAGAAUUAAUUAAUUAGAUGGGGUCUUCUAAUAGUCUAGUAUUAGAUAGCUGUAUUUCAGGGCAAGCACCAAGUUUGAAGGUUGCCUCUCAGUGGUGUCUGGUGUCCAUUAGGCCUGGUAGGUUGGGAGAUUGGGAGACUGAUGGUAGGAGGACCCAAAGUGAAUGAUAGGCAGAGCCAACUAAUUCUAGUUUUAUCUCUGUCCUUCUCCCUGUUGAGUUCUAAAAUGACAACACUUGGACUAAGGAGAAAGCUGACAGACAAUACCACUCCAUUGACAAAUAGAAUGUAAGAGUUGUUGUUUAUUUAUAUCCCGCCCUUCUUCCCUAAGGAGCCCACAGGAGCAGAUACAGUAAUGAAAAACAUUUUUAAAAAUCUAAAGUUUUAAAACUUUCUAAACAUAGUUAAAACAUUAUCUCACCCAGCAAAAAAUACUGAUCCGUCCUCUGUAGUAGAUUUCUGCUUAUGGCUAGUAUGGCAGCAGCCUAGUGAGUAUUAACUACUCAGUGUGUACUUUCAAAUUACCUUGAUGAUGUAAAUUGGGUUUUGAACCCAAUUUCAAAAUGAAAACGUAUGGCUACCUGUAUUUUACCACAAUUACGCAAUGUAACAAUGAUCUGUUUUUGAAUAAUGACAUGUUUUUGUGCAUGGAAGCACCAACAAUCAGCUGUUUGUCGGCACUUGCAAAGUGCUAUGCAUGGGGCUUUGCAAGUGCCACCAAUUAGGUGGCUGGUGGUGCCUGUGACUCUGCCUGUCAGCCCAUCCAUCUCUUUACCUGACCCACAGGUAGGACAGGUAGGCAUGGCUUGGCCGAAACAGCCUCACAGCUCAAAUGGGGAUGCCUAAAUAGGCAAUGGGAACAUUCUAAGACAAAGAUGGAUGGGGGGCCUGUGGUCCUUUAGAUGUUGUUGGACUACAGCUUGCACCACUGCUCGCCCAUUGACCAUGUUGACAGAUGCUGAAAGGAGUCUAACAACAUCUGAAAGGUCGCAGGUUCUCCAUCCCUGUUCUAAGUGAAAAGGGCUUUAGACUAAAUUUAGAAAGCUCCCCCAACCCCCAAAUUAGGAAGAUCUUGAAAAUACAUCAUUUUAAAAACAGCUUCUCAUUGCAAAAAAAUAAAAAUUAAUUCCACCUUGAGAAUGCAAAGGUAUGUAGGCAUCAUUCACCCGAAGGGUAAGUCAAGUUUAUGCUAAUGCACAAUUUUUUUAUGUUAGGCUACCUAAAAUAGAGGCACCUGCUUAAUGCAUGAGUGACUCACAUCCUCCAUAUUUUGCUUAGUUGGUGCUACAUUUUAAAGAGACAGUUAUAUUCAUAUUAGGUCAUUAAAUGAACUAAUUACCAUCACAUUUUCUGGCUGCUGUACUUUUAUUUUGAAACCCUUUGCGUGGCAGUCUGGUUUUAUCUCUUUAAAGCAGAAAUAAGUAUUUGAGCAUUUAUAUAUCCUCAGGUUCCAUAACAGACGUGACAAAGUUUAUUUGUUUGUAUAGCUAGAUACCAUUUAUAUAUAUAAAUCCAUAUCUCUUGGCAACUAGAUUCAUGAGAUAUACCCCCAGGAUACAAAUAAAAGCCUUAGCUUUCUUGUGUCUAGCUGCAGCUAAUUCACUUCUAGUACAAAAAUAUCCUGGGAAUUAAUAAUUCAUAUCAUAGGUACUCUGAAAUUAUAUCAUUGUGAAGCAGAGUCUCUCCACUGGCUGUCCCUACCAUUAUUGCUGCAUGCAUCAUGGUCCAAGAGAUAAUGAAAAGACUACAUAAUGGUUAGAAUCUUCAUAACAUUAGCUUUUGAGCCAGUGCUCAAAUUAGUAGCACUUGCCAAUAUGCUAUUUCUCACUCUGUUUUGCCCUAGGUCUCUUUGGCCAUGGCAUUCGCUCUUUUUUCAUUUACGAAGAAACUAUAAACCUUUCUGUGGAGAGAUCAUAACAUUAGGGUGCAGGUUUUGACUCCAUAUCCAGUCAGAUCUUAUAUAAGAAAAUCUUAAUUUGGCUAUAUACAGUAAGAGUUUUUAUUUCCAAACAACAACUUUUUCAUACUUCCAGCAUAAUGAGAAGCAAGUCUCCAAAAUAAGAAUCAUUUAAACAGCUCUCUCUUUUUAAAAUCUCUAACUGCACCCAUAUAGGAAAUCACAUUUAAAAUUUCAGGAAGUUUUCGAAUCAAUUUGUAAAAGUGGCAUGGAAAAGAUAGGGCUGCUUCUUAGAGAAAGAAAAGGCCAGUCAAAAGGUCUGUAGUGUACAUUCAGGAGCAGACCACAGUGGUUUCUAAGGGAGCUCCUUGGAUUGUAGAUCCAAUAAUUUUAGGGGUUUCCCUGGUCAUGUACAAGAAAUUGGAUGCAGCAUUUCCAGUGCACUCACUUGAAAGCUAGCUAAACCAUGGUUUGGAUGUUAAGUGGAGUUGCCUUGUAAUAGAGAAGGCCACGUGCAUUUCUUUCAGGAGUGGUUUAGAAGAUAAACCAUGCUGAAGUCCAUAGCCUGAUUUGCUUUAUUUAGGAAGAAGUAAGAAGGAUUUCCUCCCCAAAUGAGAAUUGUCUGCUUUUAUGUUCGUAUUUGUUGUUUUGGUUUUUUGCCUUCCUAGCUAAUAAAUGGAUUUGACAACUUGCUUAAUAGACAUCUGGAUUGUUUGUUUAGCCUAUUUUUUGAAUCAUUAAAGAUAUUUCAGCAUGAGGAAACUUGUUGACUCUUGUUUGGUGCGAGGUAAUUUAUUUCUUCUUCUUGUGCAAUGUUUUGUCACUGAGGCUAAAGCUACAGAAGCAGGAGCUUUACAGUAUUCAUAUGUGUAAGAUUCAGUUUUGGGCAAGAAGGUUGGUCUAGAUUUAUAGGGGACCUAAUACUGGGCUAGGAACUGUUUUAAUAUAUGAUCUUCUAUGUGAAAUGAGUACAUUAUCUCCAGAUAUAAUGAGUCUUCCACUGCAGAAGAUGAGACACAAGAGGAUGAGCAAACCAAUAGUCCCAAAUUAUGUUUUCUGAGAGUUGAUGAAAUUGACCUGAGGCUUGCAGAGUAAGUACACAGCAUUUCAAAAUUGAGCUUAGCCAGAGGGAUUACACACAGAAAUGAGGAAAUGGAAGCAGGUCUCCCUGUCUCUUAAUGAUAGCUUUCAGAAGAGACUACAAGCAGGGAGUGUACAUCAGAAGAAUGUGUCAGAGAAUAACAAAUAUUGGCAAAUGAUCAAAUAUAUUAUGUUAGAGUGAUCACAGGAAGAUGAAGAGUCCAACUAGUGCAGCAUUCUGUUUCAAAGAAUGCACAGCUAGAUCCAAAAAUACAGUAUGAAGGCUACAGCCCUCCCAAUUCUACCCACCCCCCACCAGCAGCUGGUGUUUAUAUAGGUAUAUUGUCUUUGACCAUGGAAGUUCCAUUUAGUCAUAAUGACUAAUAGUGAAUCAUUACAUUGUUCUUUGAAUGAAAUAUAUUGAUAUAUUACUAGGUUUGAAUAAUGGAAGGAAAAGCCUCUAAUAUUAUUGCAGCAGAACGGUUUAAGAAAGACAGGGUUGAUAUCAUCCUUUUCUCCUCUUUGCUCCCUGCCCCCACCUACUCUUUCAGGUUGUAUGUGAUUGUUCCGUAUAUUGUUAACAAUAUUAUCAUGCAUUACACCCACAUCCACCCACACCCCACACCAAGCUCUUAAAAUACACUGCUUUAUGCAAGUUAACAUGAAUAGAUGUAAGGGUUUGCCUUUAAACUCUGCGGAGCAAUCCACACCUACAGCCAACUGCAACAUUUUGCACUCUGUUCCCAGAACCUGAAAAGGUACCCCUGUCGUUCAUCAACUCUCCUCACAUCCCACCCACACCCUCACUUUAAAUAUAUACCUUAGGCAAGCUUAGGUGGUAAACUGACCCCUUUAAGCUCACCUAAUAUGUAGAGGGGAAAGAAUAGCUUGAACAGCUGAGAGCGAGAGUCCUGCUAAUUUAGAAAAAAAUAUAUUGUGACUAAUAUAACAAAGACUUUGCUGCUUGUUUUGAAUUGAAGGUUUCUUUUGAUGCUUCUAAUCUCACUGAAGUCUUUAUCACAUGGUUUGAAACUGUACCUCUGAGCUCAGAUUUUCAAGAAAAGUUGCAAAGGCAUUUGGUAGAUAAGUAGUACUCUGUGCUAUGAAUUUUAUUUAUAUCAGCCUACAAAGGGUUUCUCCUUUGUAAAGUUCAGGGAGAAAUGUUCACAGGCUCCAGAAGAGAAAACAAUCUGGACAAAAGAACAUAAAAAUAUGCAUCUUCUUUUCUCUACCCGUGGGCAAAAAAGAAAUAUUGUGCCUUUGCAAAAAUGUAACAGAAGAUGUUGUCUCUUACUCUAUGCUACCUUUAUCUAAGCCACUGCACCAAUUAUCUACUUAACAUAGACCCAGGUGUGCUUUCCCUAUGUGAUGAAGGUUUUUGAGCUGGAAGUUGUAGAACAGCAAUUUAACACAUGCUUAGAUCAGGCAUAGGCAAACUCGGCCCUCCAUAGGUUUUUUGGACUACAACUUCCAUCAUCCCUAGCGAACAGGACCAGUGGUCAGGGAUGAUGGGAGUUGUAGUCCCAAAACAUCUGGAGGGCUGAGUUUGCCUGUGCCUGGCAUAGAUACUACUACUGACCAGGUCUUUAUGUGGUAGCGGUAAUGAAGCUAAGAGUUUUAAUUAAGGAUAGUUUUAGAAUCCGCUUCUAAGUCAGAUCCUGCCUAAAUAUUACAGGUCUAAAUUCCAGCAUAAUUUCUAGAACUGGGUGUGCAUGCAUUGGACAUGGAGGGUUCAUGGAACCUGUGUGCCAGCUCACCCCUGGCCAAGCAUGGCUGCGCUGCACAUCUGCCUGCUUGUGCAGGGAGGAGCCCAUCUGGCCGAUGCAUGCCUUGGCAGGCAGAUCCCGCCUCCCCCCCCCAUGCUGACCAGGUGGCCAAUCAACAAGGAGGCUGGGGAUACGACGGCAAGACCAGGCUGGGCUCUGGGGCUCAAAGACCACCAGGGGCAGACAGGGCAGGAUGGGGAUCCUUUUAUGGAGACUCUUGGUUCAUGCCCCCUAAAAAUUGUGCUCCUGGGGCUACGCCACCCUACUCCCCCAAACACUAUGCCCCUGGUUGUUCCAACACAUUUUAGACCCCAUUGGUCCCUGAAUUUCCCUGAAGAACCAGAAUGGUCUGAAACACAUUGGAUCAACAAGACUUUUUCUUCUCUGCCACUUUUUUGUUUGUUUGUUUUCAGUUAUGUUUUGAGGUGUUCCCAUUUUUGUUGGACCUACUAUAGGCUUUGAUACCCUGAAUAUGGUUUGGUAAUUUGUACGAAAUGUAGCAGGCUUCACUGGACACCUCUAAAGUGCUUAUUAAGACCAAUGGGUCUUAGGAUAAAAUUGCCGACAGUAAAGUAGAGAAGAAAUAGUGUUCUAUCAUAAAUAGGGGUGACUGAUUAGGAUUUUGCUUUUAAACUUUAAAAAAAAAAGUCAAAGGAAUCCUGAGACUUGGAAAAUAAGAGAACUCUUCUUCCAAAAGGAAAAGGGCAAAGGUAGAAAAUGUCACCAUCUCUAUUUCCUUGGUUAAAUCUAGGCAAAAUCCUGCCCCUUUCCUUAUUGUUUACUGAUGUGAUGCACGUUGCCAGAUCUCUCACAGCCUGCUGCAUAUCACCUCAUCUGUUCUGUAUAUGCAGAAGGCUACCAGAGAUAAAACUGUCAGAAUAAAAUAAAUUCCUCAUUUUCUAUAAGCUGUUCUGAUUGUUGUCUCUUUCGAUAGCAGAAGCGCUGUAAAGUUUAUUUGUGAUGGACAAAGAUACUUAGAUAAUUUCUUUUGGGAAAAGAACACCUUUUUUUUUUUGCAUGUGUCACAAGUAAUAUAGUUGGUGGCUUGGAUCUCGUGUGCAAACAGGAUCUGGAGUUGCCUUUGACACAUUCCCCUGUCAGUGAGGAGCCUCCCCAACUGAGAACAACUCUGAUGCUGAGCUGGUCCUAAUUCCAGCUCUGUCUCAAUGGAGACACCAGUGCUGGGACUAACAAGCAUCAUGGACCCAAUUUACUCAAAGGAGUGCCUGUUUGUUUGCCCAGUGUUGAGACUGUAGCUGCUUGCCAUGCAUAUAGCUGUGGUGGCUCUGCUCUUCAAAGCAAGCAGCAGGUGGCAUGUUCAGGUUGGAUGAAGGUUUUAGUUCAUCUGCAUUUCAGCUCUCAUGUACCUGCUGAUUUCUGAAGCCUGUAACUUGCCUUAUGCACCAAUCUUAUCUAAAAAUUGAAGCCUUUGGCAGAACUAGAGUUCUUCAUCCAAUGGGAAGAGCCAGGAUUUAUUUAUAGAAGGAUUUCUGCACUGCCACAUCAUGAGAUACUAAGGUGGUAUACGCUGUUAAAACAUAAAACACAAUCUUUUUAAAAAAUUAGGAAUACAGAUAAUUAAGGUGACUGGCCAAUCAAAAUUUUAAAAGCUGCAAAGGCCUCUUGGAACAAACAAAAAAAAGUAUUCAAGUGAUACCUGAAAGUCAAAAGCAAGCAUGUCUGGUGAAUCUCUGUUGGAAGAGUGUUCCACUACAUGGGUCUGGCAAUACUAUGUAAAUGCUCACAAUUCUGGUUAAGGUCAGUUGGGCCUCUGUAACACAGGCAACAACUAAACAGCACUCCUCUGGAUGAAAUGGAAUGAUGUGUGGGCAGUCCAACAUAAAUCCACCACUAAUGCAAUAUUAUUACAGCAACAGUGACAUGUCCCAGAAUAUACUCACAGACAGACACACACACACACACACACACACACACACACAACACACCAGUUUAGCCAGAAAAGACUCGGGGAUAUCAUUUCCUGGUGAGAAUCAUGGGGGUUGUAGUUUUGUCUUCCUCCUGAACUGAAUUGGGAAGCAGACACUCCCCCAGCAACUAAAAAUCCCAUAAUAUUUGACAGGAAAUGUUUCUUAAUAUACUCAGACCAUCAUUUCUAGCAAAAGUUUCUCCUGGGUUUAGAAAGCUGUGCCUACCAUUAAUUUUGUCUCUUCCAUUUGCAAAUAUGGGUACUGCUUUUUGAUUUCCUUGAGAAGGUGGAGGGGUAGGGGAGGCAAUUUAGCAAUAGGAAUUUCUAGUUUAUUGAAAGCCCUAUACCCUUAAAAAGUUUGAAACCUAAUCAUCUAUAGGCUACUGGGUUUCUAGAAAGAUGACAACAUUAACUUCCUUUUCACAUGCAUUACUGGUUUGUCCUGUUUGGUCUAUUAGUAGUACUGAAAAUAAUAUUUACCAGACUUCUCAAGGUUAUGUUCUCAUAUGAGACAAUAGGAAUGUCUGUUCCUACUAUCUGCCAUGUUUAGACUUAAUUUGGUUUUGCCACCACUUGUUGUGGAUAUGGAGGAAGGUAUGGUUGGUAGAAGCACCCCAGAGAAGUAAAUGUUUACUUAUUCAUAUGCAUAGCUGGAAGCCUAAGCAUUUGUGCUUUUAUUUUGAUUUGUGGACUAAAUGCUUAAACUCUGGGACAGUCUGGAUAUAUCUUUGUCUUAUCUAUCCCACACCAGCCCUUUCUUUUCUCAGUUUUGUUGUUAACUCUUGGCAAUUUCUUGCUUCCUUUCUGCUUAUACUUAUGUUCACAACACAAGCCAGUAUUGCAUGAAUCCUCAGGUCUAGAGGGUUUAGGGCCUUAGAAAGUGGCAGUUUUGCCAGGGUGACCAACCUCAAACCUUUACUCCAGAGCAUGACUCUCCUAAGUGUGUGGGCCAGCCUAGGUGGUCAUUGUAACAGUACACUGGUACCUCGGGUUACAGACACUUCAGGUUACAGACUCCGCUAACCCAGAAUAAUACCUCGGGUUAAGAACUUUGCUUCAGGAUGAGAACAGAAAUUGCACGGCAGCGGGAGACCCCAUUAGCUAAAGUGGUACCUCAGGUUAAGAACAGUUUCAGGUUAAGAACGGACCUCCCAAACAAAUUAAGUUCUUAACCCAAGGUACCAGAGGUUCAUCCAAGGAUGAACAUGCCUGAGGACGCUCCUUCCUGUCCAGCACCCCAGCAGUACCACUACCAUUGUUCUGGAGGGUUGGGGAAUCAGUAAAAGUUGCUCUCCUUCUGCUGUCAAUCAGCAGGCUCCCUCUGCUGGAUCAACAUUCCCAUCUGAUUAAAAGAAGUCUUUCUAUCCAGAGAAGGCAAACUCUGGCUGUAGCCCUGUGUUUAGUGGCAUAGGAAGGGGGGUGGAGGGGGCGGGCUGCCCCGGGCGCCACUCUGGGAAGGGUGACAAGAUGGCCCCUGCCUCCCCCCAGCUGUAGAGUGGCCGAGGGCACCUGCAGUCCGUAUGGGUGUUGCUCUCGUGCGGCGUCUGUACGACCGCUGCACGCAAGCGGCAUCCUGUACGGACUGCGCAUGUGCAGCAUUCUGUACAGAGUGCGCACGCGUGGGAUGCUGCACAUGCGCAGUCCAUAUGGGCUGGGCCGUCUCAGGUGCCGGAGGGGGUUCCUCCGCCACUGCCAGUGUUACUGAGUUAUGUUGAACAAUCUCUCAAGUAACUAACCUUGUUAAAUUCACUGCUGUAAAAUAUUUACCAAUGCUAAUGUGCAACAUGCUUUAAAUAUUCCUAAAUUAUGUUUGAUCACUUAAAGCAAUUCACUAAAAUUUGGUGCCAGAAUGUGCCAUUACAUAAACCUAAGAGAUGAUUCACACAAACAGCUUUAAAUAGUGCUUAAUUUUUCUAAAUAUCUGUGAGGUAGAGAUUGGUAUUGUAAAUUAGUCAACACACAUUUUAACAUAGGGCAAAAAUACAUGAGCCAGGCUUCAAAAUUCAGUUCAACCUUACCUGUGUUUUAGACUAUGGUUGAAGGUAAAAUAUGUCUAUGUCUUUGCUGCAGUCCUGGAAGAUGGAAUUUCUUAUUACUUCUAAUACAAAUGAUUCCCAGAUGAUUCUAGUAAAAGUUAUACAAGAACAGACCCACUCUUGAAAGAUGAGAGAAAGACCAUCUGAGACAUGCAGUAUUUUUGAACAUAUGAUUCCACAAGAAAUAUAUCCCUGUAGGAGCAGAAAGUUAGUGAUUUGUUUUGGGCUGAAUGUGGCAUAUUCAUUCGUCAUACAUUCUUGAAUCGGAGCAAUACUGAAAAUAUAGGAACAAAUAUGCAGUUGUGUGUUUUAAAUGUGUUCUUUAUGGUUUCAUGAGUGUAAGUAUUAUGUGAAAAUAUGCAUCUGGCAUCUUUUGUUUUGGAGGAAUAAGCACUUUUCUUAACGUACGAAAGCAAAUAUAUUUUAAUAUAUAUAUAUGUAUAUAUUCUGUAUUUACUAGGCUUUUGCAUUUUAUCUAAUGAGAUGCAUCAUGAACCUAACUGACUUCAGACUCACUAAAAAAAAUUGCAGCAGAAAGUCAAAUUUCAAAUUGCAGCAGAAAGUCAAACAUAACCCCUUUAUGUAUUUGGGGUUCUAGUUGGUUCUAAACAUAUGUGAAAGUAUUUCCAUAACAUGGACCACUUCCUUGUCAAUGUGGCUUUUUUUACUACAGCAAAGGGGUUAAUUUCUUUGUGAUGCUUCAUCCCCUUCUCCCCAAAUACUUAAUGUAUUAUUUCUAAUUCAGAAUUGGAAAAACUGCAUUUGGAUCAGUUAUACUGCAGUCAAAUUAAAUUUAAACACUGCAUUCCAUGGCAUUAGGAUUGCAACUGCUCCCAAACAUGGUGAUAACUCAAUCUUAGCAACAUGGCUGUUUUUCCAGAUUUUGAUUUCGGAGAAAGUGUGACGAGUUUGUGAAAUCACACAAAGACAUUAAUGUUCUUCACAGGCCCCAUGAUACUCACCUUGCAAAAAGGUGACAUGCUAAUGCAGUCAUAUGAAUUAGUAGGGACUACUGUAUUCAGUGGGCUACCUUCUAGAUACAUUUGGCGAACCAUAGCAUGGCCACUGUGACUCAUGUAUUAGUGACCUCAAGGUUGGAUUACUAUAAUGUGCUCUGUGUGGGUCUUUGAUUAUGAUUAAUGUUGGAUAAAACCCAUUGAUAUUCUCUUUGGACACAGCUUUGACAGCAAAGCAUUACAUCGAUAGAAAUGAAGUUCUGUGAUAGGUCAGACAUUGUUAUUAGAACAACCAAAAUUCUUCCUUUCCAAGCAAAGGAGUCUAUAGAGCAAUAAUCCUUCAGUUCAGUGAAGCACUUGGCUCUGACUACUGGAUUGAAAGCUAAAGUAGUGGUAUAACUGGAAAUCUAUUUAUACCUAUAAGAUAACUUACCACUUUUAUGGCACAUUGCUUUUAGAAAGUGUUGAAUGGACAUCAUUAAGAACCAAGGCAGGACUGCUCAGUCACACACCAAGGGAACUUAAGUUUGAGGCAUACAAGGACAGAUAUACAAUACUAGCACAAUUGCAGAGAAACAGUGAUGAUUCUAGAAAAUAAGGAGCACACUGCUAACAAUGCAAUCCUAGCCAUAUCUGUUCAGAAGCGGUUCAGUAGGUCUUAUUUAGGGUGGCAACCUUGUUUAUUUAAAUAUGUAGGAUGGACUUAAAUCUAGGUAGGCAUGUGUAGGACAAUACUAUCACUGGGACACAGUGUGAUGGGCUAGUACCAUUUUUUAUGACUUUUGGAGGAUGAAAAUUUUUAAUGUGAUCAGAAACUGAGGCAGACCCAGUGACAUGUAUAUGUCCAUAGAUCAUAAAAGUCCAGAGGUAACAGGGCUGCUGCAACAACCUGUGUUGUGUUGGACCAUGAAGGAGUGACAAGCUGAAGCAUUCCUUUCAUUCCUUCUCUUGCAGGUCUGAUUUUAUAGAAUCAUCUAAUUGUAGAGUUUGGAGGGGACCCUGAGGGUCAUCUAAUCCAACCCCCUGUGCAUGGCCAGCACGGUUUGAACGGAGGCUAAGUGCUCCUAACAAAGGAGGAUCUGUAAACUAGAGAAAAGCUGAUGUCUGAAACAUUUCAGAGUUUAAGUCCUCCUUAAUUCUCUUGAGUCUGAUAACUGCAUUUUUUUAAUAAAAAGAAAUACAUGGUUGGUAUUUCUCAAUGCUGGAGUCCUCCCAUGUUUGUGUCAUCAAUAGAGAAUAGCUAUUAGUAUACACAGUAGCACUUCCUUCACCUUGCCCUUUCAGUGAUCCAGGUCAUCACUUGAAAAGUUUAGCUUUUGGGAAAUAAGUGCAGAUGUUUUGUAACUUCAGCUCAAGGCCUUUCUUUGAGGUGACACUCAUGGGGACAAGGAAGUGGAACACACACUUAGGGACAUGCUAAUUUCCCUCAUCCGAGCAAUGCAGUUUCCUUGAAGACUAGAAGCUGUUAUUCUCGUUUCACACAUAAAGACUAGUCUCAGGUCCCAAUCUCAGGAGUGAAAGGUCAGUAAUUUCUUGUCUUACCAGCUCACCCACCACAAGCUGAAUGGCUCUCUUUGUCAGUUACAGCCUGAUCCUCAACCUUUUUAUUCAGAAGAAAGCCUCACUGAUUUCAUUAAGACUUACAUGGGCGUAUAAAUAUUAUUAGGACUACAGUCUCAAAUUUUUGAGAUUUAAAUCUGAAAGAGACACAGAAAGAGACUUUAUAUAAUCACCUUUUAAAAAAAUAGACAUGAACUUAUUUUACUGGUGGUUAUUUAUUUAUUUAUCAAGUUAGAUAUAAGAUAUUAGUCCUACAAAACACUUAAGCAUGUUUGAUGAACCUAUUAAAAUUUUUGCAAAGUUUUUCUUACACUCUAAGACUUAGCAGACUCUAUUAAACUUCAAACCAUUCCUAGCAUCUGUGCUGGUUUUGUGUGUGCAUCUAUAUAACAUUUAUAUAUAAAAAGUCAUACUAGAAGUAUGCAGCUUUUAAAAAGUAUGGUAAAUGCAGCAUUUAAUAUAUGUUUUUCUCACUAGACCUCAUGUCCUUUUUAUUCCUUUCAUUUUUCAGACUGGCAAAGGAUAUGAUUCUUAUGGAAACUUGGCUUCAUGAUCCUAAGGAAAGCAUAGUUUAGAUAAUCACAAGUAUUUACAUAUGUAUAAGUGAAAUACCGACUAAGCUCUCAGAUUGUGCUUCGGGGUAGACAGUGGUGCCUCCCCACCCCUCUCAGUUCCUCUUUUCUUUUUUUGACAGCCAGUUAAUAAAGACUCAACAAUAAGCAGCUGCUUGUGAUGUCAUUUGGGACUUUGUCCACAGAGCUUGUAUUUACAAGCACAGAGCAGCAGAAAAGCUAACUGGCAGCAAACUUCAUGCCUGUAGUUACAGUAGGACUUUCAGCGGUGCUCUUGAUGAACUUGAGAGCUAACUCAGUACUGCUCCUCACCACAGAUUUUUAAGGCUUGGUAAAUAAACACAGCAUCCACUCGAGCAAUUUCUAGACUGCUGAAAACUUUCGUAUGGUUUGGAUUUCUCUAGUACGGGAGCAUGUUUUAACUGAACAACAACAAGUAAGGUUGGCUGUUCUUACUGCUGUUAUUUCCCUGUUCUAGAAUUCUAUCAGAUUAGCACAGCUUUCUUUCUUUAAAUGUUGCUGUAUUUAUUAUGUUUCAGCUUCACUACCAAGGUUUGCUUUUAAUUAUAAUAGGAGCAAGUGUGCUGCUGUUAGGCGGGAUUACAGCAAGGCUUUUCAAUAUGCUUUAUGCAUUUGCUCAUAAAAUGGGAAUGUUUGGAGAUGAGCGAGAAUUCAAUUCUAACUUUUUUGUUUGCAUUUUUAUGAUGAUAUUAAGCUGCCCCUUUUUCAAGUUCCAUCCGCUUACAGUUUUAAGUCUAAUAUCAUUGUAGAUAUUUUGUCAUCAGCUAAACGAAGAACUUGAAAAUUCCCACCCACCCCUUGUGGCUUCUGUGUUAAUGCUCAGUUUAUGUUAGAAUUAGCAUUUCAAAAUUGUAUUGCCGGCUUCGACAUAACAGACUAACUGGAUCUAACUUGAUCCAUAGUACAGGUUUUGAAAAGUUCGAAAUUUGAAAGUUCAGACGCUGCAAAAUGUUUAACAGCUUGAAGCUGUUUUAGUAGAAGUCCUUUAUGCUAAGAGUGACAGUUUUGGAAUUGGCUGGUUUUUACUGAGAACAGAAUGGGAUGGAGCACAACCAUGGAAUCAUUAAUCACAGUAGUCUCUGGCAGCAGAAGGAAACAUGGGUUUGUAACUCUAUUUCAGAGAAGAGCAACCUGUGGCCCUCCCAUAUGUUGUUGGACUCCAACUCUCAUGAGCCCCAGCCAGCUCCAACAUCUGGAGGGCCACUGGUUCCCCAUCCUUGCUUAGAAUUUAAGAAUGCUUGGCCUACAUUCAUCAACGAAUAUACAAACAAAGGUGCAUAAACUAUUUAUCGUGUAAUAAAAGGGACAGUGUGAAUCUGCCAUUCCUUGCUCUCUUACAGGGCAAGUCUUACAGGAGAAUCCUAUGCAGUCUGGCAUGCAAUUACCGUAUUUUUUGCUCUAUAACUCACUUUUUCCCUCCUAAAAAGUAAGGGGAAAUGUGUGUGCGUCUUAUGGAGCGAAUGCAGGCUGCGCAGCUAUCCCAGAAGCCAGAACAGCAAGAGGGAUCGCUGCUUUCGCUGCGCAGCGAUCCCUCUUGCUGUUCUGGCUUCUGGGAUUCAGAAUAUUUUUUUUCUUGUUUUCCUCCUCCAAAAACUAGGUGUGUCUUGUGGUCUGGUGCGUCUUAUAGAGCGAAAAAUAUGGUAAUUUCCAAUGCAUUCAGUAAGGCUUACUCCUCAAUAAAUCAAAUAAUUAUGUUCUUAGGAUCCAGUCCUAUGCACACUUACGUGGAAUGAAGUCUCACUGAACACAUUCUAAAUAAACAUGCACAGGUUUGUACUGUUCAUCUGUAAAGCCACCAUUAGAGUCUGGCUGUCAUGAAACUUCUAUAGUCAAUAAACCUACAUUGCCUUCUGGUUCCUUCUCAUGCUGUUCACUCUCAUAGCAACUGUGAUGCAAUAGCAGUUGCUGACAGAUAUAAGAAGAGGUGGUCUGGAUUUCCAUGCAUGCCUCAUGGUCUUCAAAUACUUUCUCCACAACCCUCCCUUAGAAAUAAAAAAUUAAAUAAAUAUCAAAUUAUUAUGUUUGAGAAUGCCUUCAGCUUCUCUGUUCUAUUUUCAAAAUAGUAACAUCCAUUUGGAACAAUUUGUUCACAUAUUUUCCAUUCCAUUACCCAUCUUUUAUCCCUAAAGAAUACUGGGUUUGGAGGCUAUAUUUAAGGAGAGUUAGGUGGUGUACAGGUAUGGGUGUGGUGUACCCUCAAGCCUCAGUAAAGCUGAAGUUUCCUUAACCUAGGCCCAGCCAACUCAUCUGUGAUGCUUAGUGAAAGUCAUCAUUGUUUUCCAGCUGCCCAUUAUGACUCCACCCAGACUUUACUGCCCAUUGAUGCUGUCAAGGAGAAGUUCCCAGUUUAACCCAGCUGUGGUUUUAAUAUAACAUCUGGAGGUAGACAGGAAAAGUUUGCUGCACCAGCUCCAGGCUGAGUCAGCAAAGAGGUCUAGACUGGGCUCCUUGCUACAACCUGCUGGUAGGUCAGCUAGCUUAAGAUCCAACAAACCUUUGGCCAACUUAGCUCUGUCUCUUUCAUCAAAACACCCUGUUUCAGGGGCUUAGCCUGGAUACCAUUGCUGGGGAUACCACUGGCAUUGGUGAGCAGAGUGGAGACCUCUGUGACAGUGGAGCCUACCUGCCAACUGAGCCUGGUACAGCCAGGAGGACCUGGGUGCAAGUAUGCCAGUCUCACUUCAGCCUCUUCCAGCACGGCAGAUUAAGGGGCUUGGAUUGCUCAUCCUAUGUAGACUAGAAAUGCAAAAUCAUACAAUGAAAGCCAAUGUUAACAUGGUUUCAAGCAUGAAGCAGCAUAUUUCAGUCCAUGCAGCGAAAUACUAUGCAAAAUAAAAAGAGAAAAUUACCCAUAGCUUUGUUUAACAAUGGCUCAUACCUUGUUUAAUGAUGUGUUUCAUGUAGUCUUCAGAAGCCCCUAUUAUUUUCUGCUAGUGACAUAAAAUUAAUCAAUGUGCAUUGAGAAGUGAAAAGGCUUGUGAUUUUAUAUAUAUAUAUAUAUGAGAGAAUAUAUAUGAGAGAUUAUUUAUUUGGACUGAUGCUAAGGUGUUCUGCUCCAAUAUGGUGUAUGCUGUGGCAGAAGGUGCCGUACAUUGUUGCGGAAAUUGCCUGUGAGCUGUGAAAGAUGUGAAUUCUAUGGCAAAACAGCUUGAUAAUAAAACAGUGGGUAAACAUUAUGUGCUGAAAGAUGGGCAUUUGCAAGGAAGCAUUUGGAGAACAAAUGUUUCUGUUGAGCCCCACGUUUUGAUGGGCUUUCUACUAAAGUCUCCUGUUUGUUUUCACAGAACCAGAUGAGACUGGGAUGGUGUGCACACACAAUAGAUCUUUGCAGCUGGAAAUCAGCGUCACAAAUUGUUUUCUUUGACAGUGCUAAUUGAUUACAAGGGUUUAGCCUUAUCUAAAUUGUUAAAUUCAGCAGUGUCUGUGCUUCCCUUUUCUUUUCUUUUCUUUUUUGCACAGACAAAAUAAGGAGAGUUAAUAACUACAUAAAGGAACAUGGGCAAACAAUAUUUGCUACCUUUUAAAACAAAAACAAAGCCAUAAAUUGUAGAUGUGGCAGUGUGAGGAUUGACUGCCAUAGGAGAGAUGCAGAAAAACUUUGAACAGCGAAUUGUGUUUUUCUAGGAAAUUAAUAGUAAAUCAUGCCUUUUGGAGAACUGACAGUAUCAUGUGUGAGGUCUGACUGGGAUGCCCCUGAAAGCCUUUUAAGCUAGAGUGUGUAAUAAAGAGGUGAGACAUGAAAAUAUGAAUUGAAUGAGGGCUACAUUUAUUGUUACAGAUCUCAGCAGAGGGAAAUAAGGGUGUUGGAGAAAAUCAGUUGCAUGUUGCCUUGCGUGAGCUGUCCUGCCCAGGACAGGAUGCCUGGCAACAUCAUAGCCCCUCUGCCUUUAAGGUGUGUAGGAAGGCUUUCUUACCCCUACCCUGGGCUCACAGAACUCUGAGUGGGUGAAAUCAGGCUGCUUAAUAGGCACUCCAUAUCCAACACACAGGUCUCAUGGCCCAGAGUGGCUCGCAUCCAGAAAUGUCCAGCACCCAGAAAGGGACCACCAGGUACUCACCUAUUCACCUCACCACAAUUCUAUCCUUGCACCUUUCUGCCAACUGGGACCAGAUUACUCUAUUUAACAAUACAGUCAUACCUCGGGUUGAAUGUGCUUUGGGUUGAGCACGUACGAGUUGCACUCUGCGACAACCCGGAAGUAACGGAGCGCAUUACUUCCUGGUUUCACCACUCACGCAUGCGCAGAUGCUCAAAAUGGCGACAUGCGCAUGUGCGGAAGCAGCGAAACACUACCCACGCACGCGCAGACGCGCCAUCACGGCUUACGUUGCGUUCAGGAUGCAAACGGGGCUCCGGAACGGAUCCCGUUUGCAUCCCGAGGUACCACUGUACACACUGGCUAGUCUCAACCUUCCCAAAUGCAUACAGCAUAGAGUAGGCAGUAUAGUGAAUCAGAUCAGUGCUGUGCAGCAAAAGGGGCUGAAGGAGGCAGCACAAGGGCUUAUAUUAGCAUGGCUCAACUUUUCAUACGAAGUGGGCUGCAAGUGUUAUUCAACACAGAACCCACGCCUUGUUAGGCAGGCUGUGGAGGCCAAAAUUUGGCACCACCCCAGCCCUUGCACUGCCUUCCCAAGCCAGAUAAGCAAGGUGUUGGGUUUUGUGAAAGAGGCAUGAGGUAGGGUCCUAGAGCCCUACCACCAGUUUCUGAAAGCUGGGAAAGUGCUAACCAGGCCACACGUUCGACCACUCUGGCUUAUAUAUACUGACUCCUCCUUCAACGUUGCUCAAUGUGCAGGUGCACAUGGAACAUCUCCAUGUCAUGCCUUUCCUUCUAGCCACAUAUGAUGCGUCUGCUGUCAGCCUUGCACUGGCAGUUUGAGUAGUUUCCUGCUAUAAAUAGACACAAGUUCAUUUGUCACAAUGGUUUGCACAUUGGCAUUAUUGUUUCUUCUGUACUGGUGUUUUAACCAUUAUUCCCCAUAGCAAACACAUUUGUAUUGUUUGGAUGUAAUGAUCGUAGCUCAAUAAACUAUAGAAAUGAACACAUUUCUAUGCAGUCAGGAAAUGCAUAUGGUGGAGCUGGAGCUCACCUAUAUUUCCAAGUGUUCAAAAGACUUUGGGGCACACAUUUCCCUCUACAUGUGACUUGCUUCCUGCAGGAAACAGCUGUGUAGGACUGGUGUAGUUGUAGCAAACAUGAUUGCUGCGGAAAGUAUAAAGCAGCUCUGAAGGCAGUGGUGUUAUUUAAAUUAUGUGGUGUGUUAGUAGUAAGGAAUUGUAGUUUAGCCAUUCAUGAGUUGCUUCAUAGAAUAGUAUAACCUUCAACACACACACCCACUCCUGAAAUGACUUCAAAGGUGCAUUUGCAAAAUGAAAUGGAAGUAAUUAUUAAACUUUUACACUAUUUACCCCCAUGUGUUUCCCUCUUGUUAAAGUUCUAGAAUGGGUCUUCUAAUGUAUACACAGUGAAAUAACUUAGCUUUAGUACAUAUCCUUAAUUAAAAUUAUACUUCUUACAUAAAUGAGCAAUGUCUUAUACUGGUAAGAUUUGGGGGUGAGUUUUGCCAGUAGAGGGCCAUGUAAAACUGAAUAAUAUCAGAAUGGACCCUUUUAGUGAGCUGCAGUUUUUAUGAGGACUUUAAAGGACAAUAUUUUUGAAGGUUUUUUUUGGUAAUUUUGAUAUUUUAUAUCAAAUUAGACUAUUAAGCACUAUUGUCCGCUCAACUUUUUUAUUUCAAUGGCAGUGAAGUAGUAGACUGAUGCUUUUUUGUUUAAUCUCAGCUCUUAAAGUAGGCUGAGGAAUUUUUCAGACAUAAGUAACAGUUUCAGUCAUCCAUCAUCCAUAAGAUAAAAGGAUAGCUAGGUAGACAGAUUAGAAAAUGAUGUGUUCAGAAUACACUGAUAAAAUGAGAAAGUGGACAUUUUAGAUCAGCAAACCAUCUUUAUAGUAAACAAUUCAACCCAAAAAUCCACUAUUGAUUUCUUUCUUACCUAAAACCUGGCUUUUCUGAAUGUGUAUGCUAUGUUCACAUUUUUCUGAUUGAACGUAAAGGGUCAUUCAUUACCCUCUCAGUUGCUUGUCCUUUGAACAGGUGUUAAAGGAGUAAGCCAAAGGGUUCCUCCUCCACAGCACCUAAUUAUAACUGGCACAAAGGAUUAACAGAUGUUAUAAUUGUCCUUAUACUUUGCUGAAAUGGGUUUCUGCAUAAUUUGUUUUCCCGUCUCUCACCUGACAAUACCAUUCCUGUAAGGCUGCAUGGACAAUGGAGACAUGCCUUCAAUUUGUUAUCAGAGCUUGUUGUACAGUCUUGCAAUUUAUGUUAUAUUUAUUUACAUUUUUAGCAUAGUUUUUGUAUUAAGCCAUGCAGAGAAAAAGAAAACACAUAAAUUGCCAGCUUGGAUUCCCCCCCCCCCCAUGUAUCACAUUGUUAGCCUCUGAUGCUCAGUAGCUAAUAAUGAGACAUACAGUGGCACCUCGGUUUACGAACUUAAUCUGUUCCGGAAGUCCGUUCUUAAACCAAAGCCGUUCUUAAACUGAGGUACGCUUUCCCUAAUGAGGCCUCCUGUCACUGGUGCCCUUCCACCGUUCGGCUUCUGUUCGUAGACCGAGGUAAAGUUCGCAAACCGGGACACUACUUCCGGUUUUGCGGAGUUCAUAUACUGAAUAGUUCGUAAACAGAGCUGUUCUUAAACCAAGAUACCACUGUAUACAGUAGAAGUGUUCACCAACAACAAGAUUUAGCUCAGACCCCAGUUCAGUGCUUUGGAAAACAACCCACUUCACUCUGAGACACUUUGUACACUGCCUGAUUCAGUGGGGUCUCUGCAAGUCCACUUGGUUCCUCCAAUUCACUAUUGAGGAAUGAAAAAAUGGUUAUAUUUUUUUUAUUUACAUUUUUUUAUUUGUAUUUAAUCCUUUCUCUUUAACCAUGAAUUCUAGAAGUUUGUAAUUCUACAGGAUCCCACAGACAAUGCUAGAUUAGGUUUGCUAGUGAAAUGCUUUUGCCAUAACAGCAAUACAGUGGUACCUCGAGUUAAGAACUUAAUUUGUUCCAGAGGUCCAUUCUUAACCUGAAACUGUUCUUAACAUGAGGUACCACUUUAGCUAAUGGGGCCUCCCGCAGCCACCGUGCGAUUUCUUUUCUCAUCCUGAAGCAAAGUUCUUAACCUGAGGUGCUAUUUCUGGGUUAGCGGAGUCUGUAACCUGAAGCGUCUGUAACCUGAAGCAUCUGUAACCCGAGGUACCACUGUACUGAUAAACUCACACACUUCCAUUGUUCCAUUUAUCACUGUAUUUAUUUUGUAAAACUUCCUGACUGUAUGUAAGUGUUCUGUACACACUUUAUAUAUCAACAGAGUUAAGUAUAACUUUCAGUUUAUAAAACAUAAAGUCUUGUGUAGGUGGUUUCAGAAAUCAGCCUUUUAAAACCCCAGAUCUGGAUGCUUCAAAAUGACAUCAAAAUCCCAGGUAGAAGAACAGGAGUUAAGAAUGAAAUUCUGGCUUAACAGCAGUGAUAUGCACAGCAUUUUAAUUAUGCAGACACCUGUUCACCACCAACUUUUAGUAUUUCAUAUAGGUCACUGAGCAGCCAUCUCAUAGUAAUGACUUUCACCCACUGCCAACCUGGACUGAAUCUGAAAUGCCAUUCUUGGGGUUAAAGGCUAAAAUUCCAAUUACCAGAAGUAUGAGGUAUCCAAUUUCCUGCAUUACCACACUGCUGAAGCACUGCUUGAGUGCUCUAUAUGUUUUCAGGAACGUGGAAUCAUGUAUAAAUUAUGACUUAUUAAAAUAUUAGUUGCAUUGCUUUAUGAUUUUAGCAAGUGUUAAUAAUUGAUAGUGAAGGAAAGUCUCAUGCAGCACAUAGCUUAAUAUGUUUAUUCCUGUUGCAGUGUCUAAUACUCAAAGGGAUCUGAGAAAGAGCCUUUGUACCAUAGAGCUAGCAGGGGGAGCAAUAAAACAACAGAAUGUAGCAAGUGAUGCACAACUUCUCGCAUGCAAGAUUCAUUAAUAAUUAUCAUGUGUUGAGUUUCUGUUUAAUAAAACAGAACAUUCAGCACAUUGAUCCAUGGCUUCAUAAAUCAUAGUUUAUGGUUCAUUAAAUCACAGCUCUCUGUUCUGUCCAAACUAAUAUUUGGCUUAAUACAGGUUAACAAACCAAGGUUAUAAAACAGAUUCAGAAAAUAAUCCUGCUUGUUUGUUAACUGAUAAGCCAAAAGGUGGGAUUGUGGCUCAAUAUAAGCCAGGAUUUCUGUACUGAAUCCAGUUUGUGAUGGCAGAAGGGUUGAGCCAAGGAAGAACACACAAUCGCAGCACUUACCCACAACUUUACAAACCAUGGACAAACUUCUGAAUAUUGCCAUUCUAUUAGAGUGUCAUCCAAUAUUUAGAAAACAAGAAAGCUGUUUCUGGCAUUUCUAGAAUAAUGUUGAUUCAAAUCCUUAAUAAACCAAUUGCAUGUGGUCUUACAGAGGAGAAGAAAGCAGAAGUGAGUGUUGCCCACAAUGCAGAUUGAGAGUUGGUAUUCAUAGAUGUGCUAUCGAGGGAGGAUUCCUAUGGGAGCACAAGUAUUAUGCAUCUACGUGCUUUUGCCUUUCUGGAGCACUGACUUCCAUAAGAAUUAACAUGAUUCUACCUAAAAAGAGACUAGCACCUUUUACUAAGCGGAAAACAUAUUAUAGCCUGAUUAAGUUUUAGAAUUCUUGAUUUUAAAAUAGCUUUCUAUCAGCUGUUGUUCUGUAGAUUUUAAUAAUAUAGGGCUGCCAUACAUCCAGAUGUUCUUUGGACAUUACCGAGAUUUCAAAGGCGGAUUUGACAUCUGGGGGGAAUUUCCGAAAUGUGGCGCUCAACAACUUUCGGGGUGUCCUGGUUUUUACUUUUUGAAAUAUGGCAACUCUAAUCUUCUGUUGCUGUAAUCAGAAUAUUCCUAUUACUAUUCCAUUUUCUAUCUCCAGUAAUAUUCACCAUCUGUAGCUCUAAUAUUAUUGUUAAUGUCCUUCACCUAUAUACCUAUUUUUUACCUAUAUACCUAUUUCUUUUCUGUUUCACUUGAAAUGCAGACGAGGUAAAGGAAAUGGGUUGGAUGACACAAAAUGCAGAAGACUUAUGGACUGUAAGUAGUAGUUCAUGAACUUUUUUUUUUUUAAUUUACAUUUUUAUUCAUUCUGUAGCAGAUGGUGAGAAUCCAUCUGCAAUUGCCAGUACCUCUUUGCAAAAAGUAAAGCAAACCCCUCCCUGUGAGCUAGCAGCUGACUGCCUCUGGGGAAAUGAGGCAUUACUGUUAUUUAUAUUUUUCCAAAGCAAACCUCUCAACCUAGUAUCUGUAUAAUUUGGGCCAGACACAUCAAUGCAGAAAAAAGAAAACCAGAAGAGAUUAAGGGGAAAGAAAACCUAUUAUUCCAUCGCUGCCUUUGAUACAUUGCUCCCUGUAGUGUAUUUUAUAGUACUUUAGCCACUGUACUGUUUAAUAUCACAAGUCUUCUACCUUUUCCCUGGAAAUAUGGCACCACAUUUUAUAUUAGAUUUCAUUGUAGAGAGCGUAUCCUAAUCAGUCUCUAUUUCACAUCAGUGCAAUAAUCUUCUAAAGCUUUUUGGCAAUGGUUUACAUCCUUCAAAAAAAUAUAAAAUGGUUAUUUUCCCCCUCUCUCCCAAAGGCCUUUCUUCAUUGUUUAAAUUCAUUACAUCCAACUUUGUUCAACUGUGCUCAUAAGGCUACUGUUAUGGCUGUUUUCCAAAUACCUUUCAAUAUUUCUGAACUUGUGGUCAUUAUUGGUGCAGACUACUUGGAAUACAUGGAAGUGUAUUAUAUGUGAAUUGAAUACUGUUGUGCUGCUGUGCCACCUGGUUCAGCUUUCAGCACAUUUAAAAUAUGCUCCAAGCUGGAAAACACGGCUUCCCCUGCAAUUUCCCAGAUAGAAUCCAUUCAGGAGCCAAUCUCUAGAACAGGGGUGUCAAACUCAAAUUCAUCGGGGGCCGCAUCAGCAGUUUGGUCAACCUCAAAGGGCCGGUUGUAUCUUUAGGACUAUGUGUCCACUCUUUAUUAUCAUAAAUUAUUGUCACUGCAUUCAAUUAUUACUGUUUUUUGUAAUAAUGUAAGUAAUAACUAGCUCUGAAAGCAGAAACAUAGUCAGAAUAAUGGCAAGUAGAUAUUCAAAUGUACAAUUAUUGUACAAUUUAUUGAAAAAUGAUUUUUGAUAACAGACAGUAAUUUUUUUUUAAACAUACAAAUAUUGCCAAACACUGUUUAUUACACAUAUGGCAAACACAAGGCAUUAACUUUUUUUUAACUUUUCUGACUAGAUGGCUGACAUUGUUUUCCUGAGGUCAGUCCAUCGAUGUCUGGCGUUAGGUCUUGUGCUGUAGCAAUCCGCAAAACAGCACGGAGGUUGUUGCUUUUCCUGGUGGCUAAGGUUAGCAAAUUUGGCUCCAUGUUUGGUCUCAAAGUGCCGGCGUAAAUUGUAUUCCUUCAUCACCACCACUGCCUCAUAGCAAAUAAGACAUACCGGCUUGUGUCCAUUAAUCACAAACAUGUAUUCACUUUCCCAUCUCUCCUGAAAUUGCCUUCCCUCUGCAUCAACUUUUCUUUUCUUGGACAUUUUUGGGUUAUUUGAUUGUAGUUUAUGGUCCCUAGACCACUGUAAAGUGACACGGAAGUGGUCAGUAUAUCCAAAGUUUACCGCUCAGACUUUUAAGCAGAAUACUAAGCAGACCCCCCCUAAUAAGCAGACCCCCCUCCCCCCCCACAUUACAGUACAGGAGAGAAGGGUUCAGGCAGCCGUUGGAUCUGUCACAUCACAGGAUGGCAUGCGCUCAAUAUAAAAACAAGUGGAGGUUUCCUGAAUGCAUGUAAAGUGGAGGUUUCCUGUGUAGAACGACCGGCGCCGCUAGAGGGCAGGCGUUCUCUGGCUUGUAGGCUGCCGCGCAUGCGCUGAAGAGGCGGCUUUCUUGUGUAAAAAAAAAAAAGCGAGAAUAAAAGGUGAAAGCUGGCGGCCGCCGGCAGCUACACGGGCCACAUGACGAGGUCUGGCGGGCCGGAUUCGGCCCACAGGCCUUGUGUUUGACACCCGUGCUCUAGAAUGUUUUGUGGUGUAAGUGGUGGACAUUAGAUGUGAAUUCAUAGAUGUGUUACUGGAAAUAAGUGCAAUUAACCUGUAUGCAUGUGUGUCUGCCGUUGUACAUAGGUUGACUUGUUGUCUUUUACACAUAAAAUGAAUGUGUGGAUGAUUCAGACAUUCUUGCUUUUUCAUUAAAUCUAUUGAUUACACCAUACAGGAAAUUGAAUGUGUUUGAGACAUAUGUAAUUGACAUUCAUUUAGGCUUGUAACUUGGUCCUGGCAGGUGGAUACAAUGGAAAACACUCUGAGGAAAACCCACAUGCAAGUUGUUGUGGAUACCAAGUGCAAUGAACAAAUCCAUGAUUGUCAUCUUGUUGUCAUUUUGCUCAAGUCAUUGACAUUUAUAGUUUGCUCAGAUCACAUGUUAAUGAAAUCUGGGGUCUAUCUAUCAUCUAUCUAUCUAUCUAUCUAUCAUCUAUCAUCUAAUCUAAUCUAUCUAGAUCUAUCUAUCAUCUAUCUAUCUAUCUAUCUAUAUCUAUCUAUCUAUCAUCUAAUCUAAUCUAUCUAGAUCUAUCUAUCUAUCUAUCAUCUAUUUAUCUAUCUAUCUAUCUAUCUAUCUAUCUAUCAUCUAUCUAUCUAAUCUGAGCUGCCUUUACUGUAGAGCUUUAAGUACCUUUGAUUUUCAAACUGUUCUUAUUUUACCUCUGUCUAUAAUGGGAAAUAAUUUUCUUUUACAACAUGGGCAGAGAAUGCUCUGGACAACUCAACACACUCCUUAUACUACUCUCACUAGAUUAACCAUGGGGGGAAAACCCUUUCUUUUUUGUACACCCAAGUGUGUAAUGAUUACUGUUGAUCCAAUGCAGUCAAACAAAACUGAUAGCCUUUUAACAUAGCUUGAUUUGCUGGAGUGAUAGGUGGAAAAAUGAAUACACAGGCCACAUUGAAUUAUUUCAAUAUUAACAAUUAGGUCCUGUAGUUUAAAAUCUCAGCCGCUACUGCUUUUGGUUUACAGCCACAGGGUUGGAUCUGGAUUUGUUGUCAACAGAGUUCUGGUCAAGGACAGUCCUGCUGAAGGAAGACAAUUUUCACCAUUUCUUCUUCAACCCCUUGCCCCCUGAAAACCUGUUCAUUGGUUAGGGGGAUUCUCUGGAAUGGGGAAGACGAUGCAGGAAACUGAAAGGGAAAGGGGGAAUUGGUGAAGAUCAUCAUCUCCCUUCCUGCAGUGGGCUCCCUCCACCGAAUCUGAAAGUCCUAUCUGCAAAGAAAAGGAGCCCAUGUACUCAUGGAAGGGCAAUGCUAUUUUUCUAGAAAAAGAGGUGCCAAAACCCUCCACAAAUGCUUCCCUUGUUGUCUUAUUAUGGCAAUGGCACCUACCUGAGAGGUGCCAGAACUGAGUUCCGGUGAGUUCCGACUGGAAAAAAAAACUCUGAAAGGGCAAAUCUGGUUCCAAUCCAUUGCUUUGAAGAACUGAGCACAGCUCUACAGUGACAUGUGGAUGAUCGGUGGCAUAAGGAGAAUGCUGUGUAGCAUCCCCAUUCCCGAAUUCAUCUGUCAUUGUCUCUACAUGCAUCCUCACUUUCCCAGCUCAUAUCUGUUCUGAACUCUGUUCGAGCAUUUAGUUUUGCAACCUGAAUUCCUCAACUGCUUCACACAAGUGAAUGAAUAGCAAAUGUACUCCUUUGACCUUUUCGGUCAUCUUUGGUAUAAUUUACAGGCUGUUUGCUCUUCCCCUACAGCAUGCCCCCCCCAAAAAACCUCAUGAUAAAAACAGACAGCCAAUCAAAGUAUGAAAUGUUGAAAAGGUUACCACUUUUGGUUUUGCUGUGUCUGUUCAAUGUUCAUAGCCUUGUUAGCAAGAAAUACUCUAACAAGAACAGAAAAUGCCAUCAGAUGAAUCAUGUUUCUUACAGAGAAACUGAGAGAUGAUAUAAACAUAAUCAAUUUUCAUUGCCAAUGCAGAUAAGUAUGUCCCAAGCUUUCACAUCAAUCUAGAACAUUUCCUCUUAAGUGAAUAUUGUUGGCCUUUCAAACUGCUGAUUAAGGUAGUGAGCAGCAGAUCUUAAGAUAUAUUUUUGUCUAGUAGCUGUUAUCUCCUAGAUAGUGUAAUAGUCAAUUCUACAUUUUAUUAUCAUUCAUUAAAAUUAUUUUUAUACUAAACGAGAUAUCGUAGAACUAGACUUCUAAUUCUCAUGUAAGAUUCUGGGUGGUUUUUUUGAUAUGACAGACUAAUAGUGACUUGAAACUAAUAUAAUAUUCCAGAGAGUUCCACAUAUUAACUAACUAAUUAAUUAAUAACCAAUUAAUUUGAAAAUCAAUUGAUAUGGACUCAGAGAAGGAAACAACUGCUGGUUGUCCAAGUUUCCUGAUCAGCUAAAGGAACAUUUCUCCUUAGACCUCUAAAUUGAGUUGAAUAUGAAGACUCUUGACACUGAGGUGAGGUGGUGGGAUGGCUCAGGAGGUUCAUCUUUUGAGGACAAGGCAGUUUACUGUCCAGCUUCUGUGAACAAUAGGAGAGUUGAGUUGUUCAUCUGGUUAGGACUGAUAUCUCACACAAGAUAUAAAUGAGAACUGGGAAGAGGUCUGGAGACUUAGUAUGGAGGGCGGGUUGUUUCUCUAGUCUAGGUGGUUUAUUUGGUGCCUUAAAAAGCGGUCCAUUUGUUUAAAGACAAUGUUUCCAUGAACGUAUUGCACUUGCUCUAAAAUGGUCUCACUGGUUACUAAUACAUCUGUAUGCUCAAUUCAAGGUUCUUGUAUUGACUUUAAGGCCUGAUAAGGUUAGGGUCCAGAGUAUUGGGGGGGGGGGGAAUGCCUACCUCUUUAUGAUCCCCCUUCCUGUCUCGGUAUUACUGUGUAUUCCAUCAGGGAAUUUGCCAUUGACAAGAAGCAGGUGCUUUUCAGUCAAUCUUCAAACUAUGGAAUUCCUUCCUCCUUGAAGUCAUGCUAGCUCUUCCUUCGCUCCAUUUGUUUAUGUAUUUAUUACGUUUAUAUACUGACUUUUUGCCAAUGCACCCAUGGUGGCUUAUAAUUUAAAAACACUAAAAGAAGCAAAUGAUCUAAAAUGUAGAGUCCUUCCAGGUCAAUAAUGGUUUUAUCAUGAGUCUGGGCCUUCCCUCAGUUCUUAAGUCACCUCAGGGAAGGAGUUACCUCAGGCCACUGAUGACUCAUAUAAAGAGCCGGCGGUAUGUGCUUUGAGGGGAGGGAGUAUGCCUUUUGUUGUUGUUGUGUCUUUUCUUUUUAAGAUCUUGCUUAAGCAUUGUUUAGAUUUGGUUCUUUGCACUUGAGUUUUUAAUCUGACUUUUGUUGUUCUGCUUUUUUGAAUGAUGGCAUCAACAUGAGAACAUGUCUGACUCACAGGCUGAAUUUCUCCAGUCUGCCAUUGCCAAGCUCAAUUGCCCCUGAAAACGUAUUUCAGCUGUGUUUGUUCAAACAUCUUUGCCCCACCUUUCCACUAAAAAGUGCUUAAGGUGCCUAUUUUGCACUGGCAAAAAUCUCAUGUGUGCUCUAAAGGCAGGCCAGGCCAUGUGUAAAUAGGGAUUUUUGCAAAAGCAAAAUGUGUGAAAUCAGCUGUUGGGGAAAACAAAAGCCCAUGGCUGCUUGAAAGAAGCAAUCUUGCCUUGUAAACCUCCAAACCAACCACAGUGCAAUAUGGUCUUCACAAUCUAAGUCCUCACUUCAAAGCUCCCAUCCUAUCAGAAACCUACUGCAUCACUUGCUCUGCUUAAAGCUCCCCCUCACGCUUGGAGUGGACCGGAUAGAAAUAGUGGGGGCUGUGACAUAGAAACAGGUGCCACCUGUCAGCUAGAGAGACUGCUUGUCUGACUUGUUAUAAGUCAUUAUACCUCAAUUCUACCACAGCACUGUUGCUUUGGGAAGGUUUUGGCUAAGAGAAACUUAUUUCUUUUUUAUUUCAGGCUGUACAUAAUGUAGAUGCCCCUGCAAGUUUUCUGGUUUCCUCUUCACCUGGCUGUCAGAAGCAGCCAAAAUUUUUUAACUAGAAUUAUUGACUUCUUAUUUUUGUUGUUUUUAGCAUUUAAAUAAGCUCAGCUUGCUGCAUACCAGAGAAGGGAGGGUAAAAGGGUGUGGGUGUUAACAUAACUCUUGGACUGACCUGAUUCUAUUCCCAGUGCAGGAUGUUCUCAUGCUUUGCAGAGGUAGGAUGCCUACAUAUUGUGAUAAUAUUUUGGAGCAUUGAAGCAUUUGGAAGGAUAAGAAACAGUUAUGGGAUAGAAAUAUGUUACUCUGACAGAUAGGAAGGUGGGGGAUAUAAAUCAGCAAUGUUGGUUUACAAUGAGCGUUCCUCCACGGUCCUGUGUACACUAUGAUAUUACACUGUGAUAUUUUGUUGUGUCAUAAAAUAGUUUAUUAUGCAAUAAACCACUGUGGUAGAAAAGGGUAUUCACAGCACUGGGCUGCAGCACCAAAACAGUGGAAGGGACAAGGAACAUUCAGACUCUGAUGGAGCCAGCCAUCACCAUCCACAUCACUGGUCCACAGCUCAGUGUUCUCACCUACCAUUGCAACUGCCCACUAUUGCCAGUCACUUGCACCCUUUCUUGGCCCUACCAGUAGUCUUCUUGGUCCUAGUGGUGCUGGGGUGGGACUUUAAAACAGAAGGUCAACGUCCCUCUGCUCUGGACUGUCAGUAGCAGCAGGCAGAUGCUAUUUUAGCUUCUCAAUGUAGUGCCCAACAUCAUAUCAAAAGGAGGUGGUCUUUCAGAUAUCUGGGGCCCAAGUCAUUAGGGUUUUAAACACCUUGAAUCAGGCCCAGAAAUGAACUUGCAUCUAAUGCAGCUGUUUUAAAACAUGAGUUUUAAAGGGAUCCUUAGCCCGUAAUCUGCUGCAUUUUGGGCCAGUUGACGUUUCUACAUCAUCUUUGAGAGCAUUCCCACAUAAAACAUUUUACAUUAAACCAGUCUGAAAGUUACCAGAGCAUGGAUCAAACUCCAGCUCACAGUACAUUGCACUAGUGGUACCAGCAUAAUUUUCUUUUCAUUUUUAAGGGAGAAUGACAGAGAGGAAAAGAGAAUGCACAACAUAUCUAUGUAGCAAAAUAUUAAAAGCAGUUACCAUCCUUUAGGCUGUGGUAUAAUGUAGGCCAUGUACCUAUAAAGGUUUUAAAUAUAGAUGUAGCUUUCAUAAUUUUUCAUGUAAUCAUUAUACUAAGUUAAUUAUUGACCAUGGGAGUGGCAUAUUAUACAUUUUAGAAGUAAGUCAAUCAAUCAAUCAAUCAGUCAAUCAAUCAAUAUUACCUGUUUGGCUAAUAGCUAUAUCACUUCUUCAACCAGGAUUAAUAACUAUAAUUAUAGAUAUGUUUAAUUUAGGCCAGCUAUCAAUGGAGAGUGGGAAUUCUACUAUAACUAUUAUUAACAACCUGGUAUGAAAUUUUUAAUAAAUUCCAUUAUUUAUGUUUAGAAUAGUUUUUAAACCACUUGAUCAAAGAGAUAUCCUAGUAGUGUACAAAUAAAAUUGUACAUAAACACAUACACACACAACCAUAAAUCAACAUUAUUUGGAUACUCGCUUGUUGAGGAGAAAGAUGAGCAAAUGAUAUUAAAAUAUAUUUAUUAAAUGAUAGAUUAAGUGAUAUAUUCUACUAAAGCAACCUUGGUGAAUAGAUUGUGAGCUGUACCACACUGCUCCUGUGGUCUGAAUUGAGAAGCAUAAUGUAUUGAGAAUUGUAUUUCAUGUUGUCUUGCAAAGGUUCUUGAGUCUUGCAAUAUCCUGGAAUAUUAGUUGCAUUGACUGGGGUGUUUUUAUUUUUUGAAGAAAUGAAAAAGAUCACACAAACACACACAUUUUUCUGAAGUACAGUGGUACCUCGGUUUUUGAAUGCCUUGGAAGUCUAACAUUCCAGUUUUUGAACGUUGAAAACCUGGAAGUAAAUGCUUCAGUUUUCUAACGCGCCUCAGAGGUCAAACGGCUUCCACUGAGUGUUUCCCAAUUUUCUCAAUUAAAUUUGUAUACCACCCUUUGCGCCUUAGUUUUCAAACGUUUUGGAAUACAAACGGUAUUCCAGAAUGGAUUAGAUUCGAAAACUGAGGUAGCGCUGUGCUUCCUUCAUAAGCAGGGCUGCUGUAUAACAAUAUGUACCAGUGUGUGCUAUGCUGGAUAGUUUCCAAAGAACUGAAUAGGCUGGGGAGUUGAUAAAUAGCACCUUUUACCCCUUUUUAAUCCAGCUUCAUGUGGUGAUUGAAAUGUUGUAAUAUUUAAUUUGAUGGUCUAUUCUAGUGCCAUUUAGAAAUAAUUACUAUACUCAGUGUUAUUUUUUAUGUCAAACAGAAAAGAUAUCUCUCCCUCUCUCGCUCUGUUUUUUCCUAACAAGAAAAAAGUAUAAUCACACAGGACUGCCAUUUAGUUGUGUUAGUAAUGGACAGAGCCAUGCUACAAAACUAUCAAUUUAACUAUGGCACAUAUUAACUGUCUAAGCCACUUGAGAAACUUGGCCCCAAAACUUUCUGGGCAUCCUACUUUCCAGUGUUGUCUUUCACAUCUCAAACACUUGGAAAGCUCAUAAGACUUACUUUGCACACAUAUAUUUACUUGAACUGGUAUGUGUGGUCAGGGGUGGAGGAAGGGGGGUGCAGUGAGUGCAGGCUGACCCGGGUGUCACCACUGAGGGGGGGGGGUGACAAAAUGUCGGGCGGCACUCACCGUGGGGCCUGCAGCACACCUGAGCCACAUGCCUCUCCUGGGAGAGACGUGGUGGCUUGGGUGUGCACAAGCUCUGUGCUGCCCAAAUGGUCUGCCCGCUGCCCCCCCCCGAUGUAGGCCGGCUGAGUGGGAGGAGGCAGGCAGACUCCAGAGGCCCUGCAGUGUGCCCCGCCCCUAUGGGCAUCUCGCCCUGCCCCUGGGCGCACUGCACCAGGCACCCAGCAGCUUCCUCCACCACUGUGUGUGGUGUAGUGGUUAGAGUGUUGGACUCGGACCUGGGAGAACAAGGUUCAAAUCCCCACUUGGCCAUGACACUCACUGGGUGACGUCAGACCAGUCACAGCCUUUCAGCCUAACCUACCUCACAAGGUUAUUGUGGGGAUUAAACAAGGAGAGGGAGAACCAUGUAUGCCAUCUUGAGCACCUCGAAGAAAAGGUGGGCUAUAAUAAUAAUAAUAAUAAUAAUAAUAAUAAUAAUAAUAAUAGGAUAUAUGCUUUUUAAUUGGUUGUGCACUUGGAGUAUUCAUAUAACAUAAGAGCCAGAAUACAUACAAGUUUUCAGACUAGCUAUUGCAACCAAGGAUUUUCAGUUACAGGACACUCUGUUCAGUUGUUCAGAAAUGUGUUCACUGUGAGGACACGAUGCUUUGGUAACAAGCUCCACCUCCAUGCUAUGUCCAUUUGUGAAUGCCUGAAAAGACUGCAUGUAUUGGGGCUCUUAUUCAGCCAAUUCUGUUAAUAUUGUUAUGAGUUUUUCAGGGAGGGCAGAUCCUCCUAAAUUCUUAGAUUUAGCUAAUAUUUGGACCUGGUACAAAUCCUUGCACAAAUGGAAUGACUUUGUUGGCUACAACUCAUUGCCAUUUGCCAUAAUGCCAUGCCCCUAUGCAUGUUCAUUGGACAACUGAAUGGGGCUCUCACUUCCAAGGUUGGGCUACAGCCAUCCAGGAUUCUCUGAAGGAGCACUGCUCAUGUGAGUAGCCGGCUUAUGUGAGAAUUCAGUUGCAAAGAGCAGUUAGCUUAGCAAAUGUAUGAGCUGUUUAUAAGUUCUCUGAUGAAGAGCUGCUCCUUACUGACAUGUGGUAAAACAGCCAUAGGCAAACUCGGCCCUUCAGAUGUUUUGAGACUACAACUCCCAUCAUCCCUAGUUAACAGGACCAGUGGUCAGGGAUGAUGGGAAUUGUAGUCUCAAAACAUCUGGAGGGCCGAGUUUGCCUAUGCCUGUGGUAAAAUAACAGGGUCACAGGAACAUGGGGAGCUGCUUUAUACCAACUUUGACAAUUGGUCUAUCUAGUUCACUAUUGAACUAAAUACCGACUUGCAGCAUUCUAGGCUUUCUGACAGGGGACAUUCCUAGUUCUACCUAGAGAGGCCAAAGAUUGAGUCUGGGACCUCCUGUGUGCAAAACAUGCUCUACAACUGAUUUGCAGCCUUUCAGGCCAACCCCACUUCAACUUCUGUCUCUUGAAUCAGUUCUAAGCAAGCACAUUGCAACUAUGCAAAUUUGAAAACCCUCACCUGCUGGUGAUUUGCCAGUUUUCCUUAAAAUAUAAAUAUAAAUCCAAGCACACCUUAGUUGUGAUCUGGAUGUAUUCUGUAGCAUUUUCAAGACCCAAAGAAAUUCAAUCAAAAGUGUGGGGGUGGGAUUCCAAACUAACUUCAUUAAAUGCAAUUGGUGUAUGUUUCAUUGAAUCAACUAAGCAGUGUUUUUAUUUUAAUUUAUUACUCAUCUUUCACCCUAAGGUACUUGGGUGGGUUACAGCAAUUAAUUUGUAUUUAUUUUUCCAUCACAGUGAAAGCGGCAACAACCUGGCAUUUCUAAGAGAAUAAAGAAUAAAGGAUAUUCAGCCAUGGACAAAAAGCAGCAUCUAGUGAAAAAGGAAUUUAGCAAAAGAUUUUCUUUGGACAGUACUCUCAUGGUGAGUACAAAAGCAUAUCUAUAGUUUUGGAUAUCUUUUUGGCAUUGGGCGCUUGGGCCUUUCAUUGCUGUGACCCUUUGUAACAGACAUCCUUGAAGACUUGUUGAAGACCUUGUAUUGUCAAAAUUGCAAGAGAGUUUUUUUCUAAAUAGCCAAAUGUGAGUAAAUGCUAAAAGACUAUUAUAGCUCAGCCAAAAUGCAACUGUUGAUAGGAACAUGACACCUUGUUCGUCUAGAUCAGAAUCUCAGAAGAAAAAUGAUGCCUUGUCCAGUGGAGUUUAGUGGAUCUGGGAUGCCCUGGUAUAGGGGUGUCAUUGAUAAAGUUGUGUCAAGCUGAAAACCCAAAGUGGUUUAAUCAAAGAACAUUGCUUCAAGAAAACAUAUGUAGUUAAAUAAUGUUCAAAUAACAAAGAUAUAUAUUUCUGUGUCUGUGUUCUAUAGCCAUUUGUACAGUGCUUUUAAAGUAUACAUCAAAAACUUAUGUCAGUAUGAUGAGUGUGCAUGAUCAUACAGGCAUCACUGGAAACCAGGAUCAGCUGCUGAGAGCACACUUGAUGGCAAACCUUGGUUUGAAAUGGCCCUGUUAAUGUCAGUGUUCAUUUUGGCUGCCGUGAACAAAGAUUGAACCUAAAACAUUGCUGUCUCUCGAUAAGCGACUUAGAUGUGUUUUCUUGGUUAGUCUUUUUCUCCCCUAAUAAAGGACUUGGGGUCACUCCACACGUUACAUUUUCAAAGUUUACUCGUAAGAAGUGACAAAUGCAAUUCAUGGACCUGUGCCUGGAUGCCACUCUACUGAACAUACACUUGGUAGACAUUCUUUUACAUAGAGCAAAUGCAUGGUACCUAAUGUCCUCUGGUACCAGACGUUAGUGAUUUGUUGAGCACUGAAACUCCAUUGUUACUUAUGUGAAACAUUCUUUUUUUAGGCAUGCUUCAGACAACAAGCAUGUACAUGCCCCCAUAAUACUGUUCUACAAAGACAUCAUAUGGCCAUAUUAUCAUAUUACUCAACUCUGCCAAACACUGAACAGAGAGAGCUUCCUCUUCAGUAGUUGUCAACACAUCCACAUUUUAGGGAGUUUCUGUCAACUUUGCAACAGUAUUUAGAUGGGGGAGAAGUACAUCAGGACCCACCCAGUUCUUUGAAACAGUUUAAAUUUAUGGAUUUAAAUUUAACACUGCUGGUGAAAGAAAUGCAGAAUUCUUUUUCAACCAUGUCAUGGCAGGAUUCUUUGGAAAGCAGAAAGCAGAGGUGGAGUUGAAUAUCAAAUCAUGAUAACUCCUGAGAAUUACAGCAUGCUCUAAAACUCUCCUUGCUCAUCUGUCUAAUGGCUAAUGUUCGUGCCGUAACAUUGAAUGUGUUUAGUCAGCAGAGUAAGCUCUGCUAAAGCUAAUGGGAUACAUUUGCAAAUAAAUAUGGAGAGGAGAAACAAUAAUAAGAAGCCAAAAAGGGGGGAAAUACCAAGUAGCCGCAUUCAGGCCAAAGUCAUGUCCGUGAGUCUGCUUCCUUGCCUCCACUUCCAGCAUAAUGAAUUUGUGGGCUUCUAAGCAGUGAGAGAAGAGCAGCAUUAUUUUCAAAGAAAUUAAGUUCCCAGGGUCAGCAUUUCAGGAGGUCGCUGACAUAUUUAGUGACUACCCUUCAAAUGUGAGAAAGCUGGUAUGAGAUUUCUAAGGAUGAUGAAAUCAGCUGACCCAGGAAAGAAUGGAAAGUAGAGAUGAAAAUCAAAGUAUUUCUGGGUCAGUAAUAGAGCAGUUGCAGAGAUGAAAGAGAGCCUUCUGCCUUGUAAAAUAAAUCAAGGUACAUCCCUUUAACCCGAACAAGGUAAUUCAUCAGCAGCGGCAGCACAGCAGGUUGUGGGAGUCUCACAGUAGUGUAGCUUUCAGGAAACUUUUAGGCUUGCUUACUACCAUAAUAUGCUAAUAAUAUAAAGCAGAGCUUCUGUGGCUUUAGAUCUGGGUUUGAAAAGCAAAGCGACAGGUGAUGCUUUCUCCUCGGUUCAUAUCCAAAUGGGAGGGAAAUAAUCUGAAACUUAUGCUUGUUAUGCACUUUAAAAAAUUCAGAGAAGUCUGGACAAGAAAAGGGAGUAACUCCACAACCACAACCUAGCAUACUAGUCGCAUUGGGUAUGUGAGGACUAAUUGUCCAGUCAGCUUUCUGCCCCACCUUAGCUGUAAUUAUCCCUUGGCUGGGAGAAAGGAGCCUAGUUACAACCAGACUAGAUUGUUGCAAUAAGGUCCACAAGGGAUUGCAUUAAAAGAUGUUUUGGAUUCUUCAGUUGGUACAGAAUGCGGUGAAUUCUGGACUCUUGUGGGGGCAAUCAAAGAAUAGAACACCGAUAUGAUACUGGCUGCACUGGAGGCUAGAUUUUUUUCAGGACUAGUUUAAAGUGUUGGUGGUGACUUUUAAAGCUCUAAACAGUGCGUAGCCAAGUUGUUUGAAGGGCUAUUUGUACUUGUAUAAACCUGUCUGGGUCUAAAAAUAUGUUCAGGGAGUUGUGUGCCCGCCAUCAAUAUAUAUUAAGUUGGCAGGCACUAGAAUUAACCUGUGGCCUUCCAGAUGCUGUUGGUCUACAACUUCCAGCAUUCCUGACCAUUGGCUAUUAUGGCUGGGGUUGAUGGGAAUUGGAAUCCAACAUCUGAAGGGACACAGGUUUACAACUCUUGUCCUAUAUAGGACGGGGUCUUUUUGGUGUUGGCCCCAUGUUUAAUGGAAACUUAGAACUUCAUUCUCUAGGUAUGUAUUCAUGGACCAUAUUUUGCUGCUUUUUAAACAGGCAUGGAAGACAUUCAUAUUUCAAACUGUUUAUAAUUUACACUUGAAAUGUUUGGCUCAUUUUCAACGGUUGGCUGUUCUAAUGCUUUUAUUUCAAGCUGCUUCUACAAAUAUUUAAAUAAUUAAGUAUAUAAAUAAACUGGUUCGAUCACGCAUACUUAAAUCUGUGCAUGAUAGGUAACGUCUGUGUUCAUGCCAGUGGAAUUUAGAAUGUAGCAAAGAAAAGUAUGCUGGGAAAAGGUCUAUUUGCCCGCCCCCUUUACAGUACUUGUCAGCACUGCCGGACUUCUGGGGUGGCGCCAUCGGUAAUGGCGGACUCCCUCUGAUCUGGAGGGACUGGCUCUACGGAAAUCGGGUCUGGUCCGCUACGGCGAAGCGGGGACCCUUUAAAAAAUCACAGGCGGGUGAAGCCUGUGACCGUGGGACUCGGCGGGCACCUUUCGCGCCCCCCCAAUUUGUAAAGGAACCCAAUUACGGGCUCCGGAGCGAAGCGGGGCAAGUGGCGCGGUGCUGAGAGUCAACUGCUUCUUCCGUGGAGCGAAGCCGCACAGCCGUUACCGGAGAGCGCUGACUUUUUCCUGUGACAAUCUGGCUACAAAAACAACUACCCGUGAGUAGAUUAAAUUUGGAAAUAAAGGAAAAUAAAGACUUAAUUCGGUACCGAGCGGGGAGGCAUAAACAGGAAGUCCGCCUUCCGUUUCUUGUAAAUAGAGUAAAGCAAAGAAGUUGUAAGCUAAAACCUGGAAAGUCGAUUGAAAAGGACUAUAAUCCUAACAUCAAAACAAGCGAUCUCCCCCCUUGGCUGCAGGAGAGGAGGGGGGAAAGGUGUGAACUAUAUUUUCCUGCAAAAAGAGAGGAAAAGAAGUUAAAAUACACCGCUUAAAACCUGGGAACGGGCUGCCAAUGGACAAUAAGAAUGCCGUAUUGUGAAAUGCGCUGUUGGUGAAUAGAGUACUUUUUGACAGUUAACUCUGCAAGAGAGAUACAAUGUUUCGGGCUGGCUUCUCCUGGAUUUAAAGUAACUGGAAACUAACUGAAAUUGAAAUUGUUGCCUAUUUUGUGAAUUGGGGGAUUAAAAAGGGUUAUUUUUUUUAAUGCAACAAGUUUUGACUGUUACUGUGUCCCCCUAGAGGAAGUUUGAAAUUGUUACAACAACUGGGCCAGGGGAAUUUUCCACUUCAAAACAAAUUCUGGCCGUGGGAUUGACCUUGGGCUUCAACUAGAGUGUUAUGGCAGAUGGAAAAGAAAAGGUAGACUUGCUUCAAGAAAAAACAACGAGGUCUGGUAGAUCUUUCCGUCCAGACACUUGGCAGCAGCGAAGAGCAUCAGCAUCUGGCCCUUCUGCACCAUCAGGGGCUGCCUCUGUACAACCUAAACCAAAAGGAAUGGCAUGUGAAGGUGUUUUAGCCCUGGCAUUAGGCAAAAUUAAUGAAUCUUUGGAAAAACUAAGUAAACAAGUAGCUGAAGCAUCAACUAAAAUUGAUCAGAAUACUACAAGCAUUAAUAAUUUGGGACAGAAGGUGAACACUAACACAGAAACUAUUGAGAAACUGCUACAGGAAUCUACCUUGACCCGAAAGACAGCUGAAGAAGCAAAGGAAAUAGCAGUUGCUGUAGAAGAGAAGAUACCACCGAUACAUAGGCAACUCAAGGACCACAGGUCGAUGUUGUCUAUGAUUGAAUUGAAGGAGAAACAAACGAAUUUGAGGAUCAGAGCCGUACCUGAACUUGAGAAAGACAAUCUGAUUGACUUUCUUAUGCAGGAAUUUGCAGACUUUUGGAACCUAGAUUUGGAGAAGGAAGAUUUUAAGAUAGUGAGUGCUUUCAGGCUUGGAAGAGGGGGGAAGAUGAACAGGGUGAGAGACUGUUUGAUCACCCUUCGAACAAAAGAGGAGAGAGACAAAAUCUUGAGUCUGCACUUUCAGAAGACUUUGGAAAUACAUCAGUCAAGAGUGGAGAUAUUUAAAGACAUCCCGAAACAUCUUUUGGACCUUAGGUCCAAUUACGGAGAUUUGGUCGCCCUGUUGAGAAGCAACAGAAUUAUCUUUAGGUGGGAAUUUCCCCAAGGCCUAUCUUUUAGCUUCAAAGG
rnacentral:lncRNA from 1 species